rnacentral:lncRNA from 1 species
GAUAGGCUUUGAGUUUGGUAAGAGAGAAGAAGAUGAGACCGGUGUAACAGCAGAAGCAACUGAUCUACUCAGCAUUUUUCUCUCUUUUUCUCUGUUUCCGCUUCUUUUGGUAUUUUUUUUUUUUAAAGAAAAAAUAAAAAAAUUUGAUUCUGUUUCUUUAACGUGAAUAUGGAUGGUGCUGACGUGGUGAAUUGGGUGGAUGUGGUAAAGAUAUCAUCCUAAUAUUUCUUAGCCAACAAAUUGGAUGAAGAAUUGUUGGACACACAUUGUGGAAAACAAAAAAUUAUUGUACAAACAUUGAAAUGUGACACUUUAUCAGGAAAAAAAACAUUGAAAUGUGACAUGACUUGCACUUUACAAGCACCAACCAAAUUAGGUCUGGACGUUUACUUGGUUACGAAAUCGGUUAUAUUUCGUUUUGGUUCUUUCAUUUUUUUAGAAUUUAUGAUCUAUGUAAGGUACACAAAAAAACUUGGUUUGGUUCAGGUUUGGGUCCGGUGCUUCGGCUCACGAGUUUAUGAUCCAUUUGGAUAUUUUUCAGGUAUUUCCGGUAUAUAUAAUUGUAUUUCGGGUAUUUUUGAGUAUCCAAAAUAGUUAGGAUUGGUUCUAGUGGGUUCUUUCGGUUAUGAAGUUUAUAAUUUACUUUUUGGUUCCAGUUUGGUACUUUUGGUUCGAUUAUUUUGCCCACUAAAUCAAACACAUAGAAGAAGAGAUAAGCUCAAAGGUCAGGUGUUUUGAGAACUUCCAUUGGAGUAGGGUUUAGGAAAAAACUGUACUAAAUUACUGGGAUUGUAUCCAUGGAAUGAUUUUAGGUUCAUUGUUUUACCUUUGAUGUAAUUAAAUUUAAGUCACACAAUUUCUUACUACUAGAUGGGGUAGAGAGAAACUUUGUUACCUCUUAGCUGUAGAUUCAUUAACAUUAUUGCAUAUAUUUUGGUCAAAAUUCAACAAUAUACAUUAAAGUGCCUAAAAACGAUGUUGACCUUUUUAUGUGUCUAAACAAAAAUUCAUAUAAGAAAAUACACACUAAGACGAAUUAUUUGUACACCAUUUAAAGUGUGACAUUAAUCACAUUACAAGCAAGAACCAACACACACACGUGUAAAUGAAUAGAAUAAAAUGACGAAAUUGGAAAUUAAAUCUUGAGUUGAAAUGGGUAAGAAGGCCAAUCCUUGAGAUCUUCUUCUUGCCUCCUCACCUUAAAAUCAUCAUCAUCUACAACACUCUCAUCCAAAUAAUCACUAUACUUCAACAAAAACGCUAACACAAGAACAAUCCACUCUAAGCAAAACAUCAAUACACACAAACCACCAGAGAGUUUAAGUAUCACUUCACCGUCUUCUUCCCGAACAUAAGAUUUCAAGAACCUAAGGAAAUCCCCUGUUCUCGUGAAUAUCAGAACAGAGACAGCGCCUUGGAAAAUGGCCGUGAGGACUGUGGCUACCAUGUGUGAACCGUAUAAUCUAUCGCUCGCGGUGGCGGAUGUGGAGGAGGCGAAGAUCGAGCAGCCGGAUACCGCGGUUGCGAUUGUGAGAGUGUAGAGGAAGAUAAGGGAGAGACCGGAGAGAGAUGGGAAGAGACGGAGGGAGAUUGUGAGGAAGAUGCAACUUGAGGCUGAGCCUAAGAGGAUGUAGUUGCAGAGAAGGAAGAUGUUGUGUGUGUUGCCUUUCGAUUUCGACAUUCCCAUUUUCUCGAAUUCAAGAAGAGAACUUUGGUUUUUUUUUGGGGUUUUGAUGUUUGUUUUUGUGUUUCUUGAUAAGUUCACUUUGAUUUGGGGUUUAUAUGCAUACAUAAGAAACAAAGUUGAGGUAAGAGAAAGUAGAGAUUUUGUUGGGAUUAACGGUCGUUUUUGUUUUUGAAAAUAUGACCGUUAUGACUUAAGGACGAAGACAGAAUAAUUCAAUUAAGGUGUAACGGCUCGAUAACUUUUUAAUCUUGUUUUUUAAUUGGUUUUUAAUAGUAUGGUUUUGUAAGUUUUAAGGUCAACUAUGUGAAUGUCGGAUGUCCCACUGAAGACACUAAUUUGUUUCAUAAAAUGAGAUUUAUAAAAAUUAGUUUAUUGGGUAGACACAAUUGAUAAGAAAUUGAGUUUGCUAAAUAUAUUAUGAUGAUAAAUAAUACACUUUAUUUGUUAAUCAGUUUAUUAAUAAAGUCCAACACGUAAAGGGAAUAUCAAUUUUAGAAUGGUCACAUUAGUUUAAAUGUUAAGAAUAGCGGGUUAAUAUUCUAAAAGAGUUGUAGAAAACGCCAUUUGAAAUUGAAAUUCAACAAUACAAAGUUUUACAAAUGUGAGAUAUUAUUGCCAAUACAAAUUUCGACAAAAAUGUCUUGUUUCAUAUGGGAACGGACACACAUCGCAUUUGGUAACGGGGACAUCUUUAAAAAUGUAAAUGAUUAUGGAUAUAAAUUGAAUAUUUUGUAACAUCCUCCUAAUGAUUUUUUAAAAAUAUCUUUAUGUCUUAUAAUUAAAGAUCUAAUAUACAAUCAAACGUAACAAACAGUUUUUAAUAACAGUAAUUUGUAUAUAAAUUAAAAAAAAAAAAACUAUGCUAUGACUUUUAAAAAAUGGUAUAUCUUGUAGUGAUAAAGUAAUUAAAAACAUGUUAGUCAAAUAAAACCAUUUGAUGCAUGAAUUUUGACUAAAUUCACAAAAUUUAAUUUUUCAAGAUAAACUACCAAUAAAUCCUUAAUAUUAUUAUAAAAAUAUAUACUAGUCAUACUUAUUUCAUUAUUUUAAUAAAUAUACAAAUGUAAUACACGAACUAACUACCAAAUAUUAAUUUAAAUCAAUUUUGAGAUGUUUUAAAAUUAUUUAGUAUAAAUUAAAACUCUUUUUAACACAUUAAAAUUCGUGGUUGGACACUAUAUAUAUCCAUAUCCCCAGAAGGGAUUAAGUUACAAGCAAACAUAUAAAAAACCAUAGCUAGCUACAAAGUGAACGUAUUAAGUCGCCAUUACCUACAAGGCUACAAAGAAGAUAAAGGUAUGUAAGCUUUAUAUGUAGAUUUGUUUUGAUAAGAAUGUAAAUAUCAUUUCAAGAAAUGAAUGAUUCAGAGAUUACAAAGUAAAUCCUAAAAAGGCUAAAAAAUAUGGAAGCAUACACAUUUGAGGAUCAAAUCAUCACUAAAUCCUUAAGCGGUGAAACUUUAGGCAAUGUUAUGAAAUUAACUUGAUAUAGAAGACUCCCCUAAACUAAACAUGGCUAGAAACAAGAGCAAUAAGGGAAAGAGAGAUCUUCAAACUGACUAGAAAGCGUAGUGGAAGUCCCUUCACAUCAAUAAGCUUUAUAUAUAGUUUGGGAAAACAUUUAUUUUGUUAUGAGGAUUCCAAUUCAGAUUUUGUUAUGAGGAUUCAAACAUCUAUUUUUUUAGAGGAUUCGAAGCCCAUUUAGGGAUUGAAAAAUAUUAAAAAUUAAAUUAAUAGAAAAAAACUCAGAUUUUAAUAAAUUUAAUUUGACUGACACUUAUAUUUCUCUUCAAUAUAUAAUAGAUAUAAGAUAUAUAUCCGAUAUAUCGUACCCACACUUUUCUGUUAUCAAAUUCAUAGUGAAUAAUAAAUCAUUCACACAAUCACAUAUUUCCUUACAAUAACUAAACAAAAAUAUUCAUCAAACACUACCAUGAUCCAUCACACACCACAAUAAUGAUAUUUUCUUAAAAUUUCUAAACAAAUAGAUCAAUUGGAAAUUUUCUUAAGCAUCAACUAUGCAAAUUGAAAUUAAAAGUAUAACUUAAAAUUUAUGAUAACAAUUUUAAAAGAAAAAAUGUGCACAUCGUUUUGUUAAAGACUAAUAUUUAAUUUUAAACUAGAAAUAUUAUCUUAUUAUAUAAAUAUUAAAUACCUAAUAAUCAUAUUAUUUUUACAAGAAUAUAUGAAACAACGAUCCUUGAUUACUUAAUUCCUAAGAAGAUAAACUAUCUAUUUUAUUAUGUUUUGUUAUCAUAACUCAAAAUUUAUAUAAUAGAAAAAAGCGCGCUCACUAUUUUGUUAAAGACUCAGAUUUUUUGUGGUUAAAUAUUACAUGUAUUUGUUUCCCAAAAUUUACAGUCAUCAAAAUGAAUAUAAAUCCAAGUUAAGUCAAAUUGCAGUUGUAAGUCUCAUAUCAAAAAAAAAAAAAGAAAAAAGAGUAACAGUCUCAAACGUCAAAAACAAAUUGUGCCUUGCAUAAAUCAGGAGUUCAAAACAAUAAACGAGAAUUAGUGGCUUUACUGUAAUGCUUAACUGACGCCAUUUUGAGUAGCAUAUUUUCUUUAAUAUUAAAUACAUAAAUGCAGUUAAAUGUAAAUGUCUUUGUUAUCCUUUAAAAUGGUAGUUUCUAAGUCUUUUAUUUCAUGGAAAAAAGUCCGAUGUUUUCUUCAUAUUAAACGCUCAUUUCAUUAAUAAAGCAAGAUUAGCAGCAACUAAAAAAGCCAAUGGUGCAUAUGAGCUUGUUUCUUUCGUUGGGUCAAACAGUUGUAUGUAUACACAAUAAACCAUCUUUUGCUUUUCGGUUAUAAUCAUCACAACCCAUUUGCUAAUUUUUCCCUCAAAUCUUUCCUCAAAAUCAUCUAGUAUAUGAUGAAGUUUUAAGAAUGAAUUCAGUGGAAAACACUUUGUAUGUAAAAAAGCGUGUGAUCCACAUAAAUUUACAUCAAUGACCAUACUUACAAAUCAAGUUUCAUUUUUUGCAUCAUUGACCUAAGUUUACAAAUAUAUUCAUAAACUAACUAAAUAAUAUCUUUCUUAAAUAUAUACAUAAUUUUUGGCUCACUGGGCAAUACAUCAACUAUUAAAUUCUAUUAAAAAACAAAAGAAAACAAAAACAAAAAACAAAAAACAAAAACAAGAAAAACAAUUUUUUUUAAAAACAAUUCAUCCUCUCUAAUACUCUAACUAACAAAUCCUGAAAUUUUGACAUUCGUAGCACAAAAAUGUUAUUGUUAUGAGCAAGUGACAAAAACAUUUUUAGAUAACUCGAUAUUGCUCUACUCUUUCACAAUCAUUUCUAAUCAUUUAUACGGAAUUGUAAAGAGCAAACCUAUAAAUUAAUGAUUCGGUAGUGAACAAAUUGGACUAGUUUUAGCAAGAGAUUAAAAAAAUGAUCUAAACAUUGAUGUAGAGAGAUGAUGAGAACAAUAUUCGAUUUUAUGAUUUUUUUUUUAAUUAGGUGAUUAUACUUCUCACCAUUUUUCCAUGUCAAUUUGAUUAGUAUAAAUAAAAUAAUUUCAGGAAAUUAGUAUAUUGAUUAAAGAUACAUACUUACAUUAUAUAUUAUUUUUUCACAUAUAAGAAACACAUAUAUAUUAUUUUGCAUAUUUAUUAAGUUUCAGGUAUCACAUAGAAACCAGAAUAAUCCAUUGCAGUAACUUCGAGGCACGACAUAUUCCUCAUGUUUGUUUUCAUUGCAGAGUUUUGUGCAAGCAGUCUCACAUAAUGGAAGAGUUGCCUUUUGAGAAACUUUCAUGCAUUGAUUCGGGACACAAUGCUUAACACAUACUUCCACCGUACUCGCGUAUGUUGAAACAAUCAUCGUUAAUAAAACUACAAUCAUCAAAACACUGUAUAUCUUUUUUAUUGUUUGAGUUGCCAUUAUUUGAAGAGAUAAAUUUAUGAGUGUUCAAAGUUAUUAAAAUUUUGCUUAGGUUAUAUAGCAAAAAAAAAAUGUAACAAGUGGAUUAUUGUUGAGUUGUUUCUAUAGUUUUUACUUUAUAUAGCAAAACUAGUUUUGACUACUUAAAAUUAUUUAUUUUGGAAGUAUAUCCGUUUGAUUUUUAUUUUUUUCAUAAGUUAGUUUUUUUGUUUAUGUUGUUGACUGUCCAAACAAUCUAUCAUUCCAAAUUCUUGUUGUCAAGAAACAUAGAAAUAUAUUAAUCUCGUUCCAAAUUCUUGUUGUUUAAAAUUAUAUAUUUUUUUAGAUUCGCUAAUGAGUUUCUUAAGAAUGGAUUAUGUUGUGAAUGUUCUUGAUUUAAUUUGGAAGAACAAAGCUCAGAAUCAUUUAAUCAUUUCAAGAACAAAACUCAAAAUCACAUAAUUGUUUAGAAGGACGAAGGACAUAUAUUUUAGCAGAGGAAAUAACUCUAAGUCUAAAUGCCUUCUUAAGCCAACAUAAUCUACGUUUGGAUAGAAUAAAUAACCGGAACUAUAAGACCAAUUUUUUAUUGAUGUAUUUCAUGUCCUUUUUAUAUCUCAAAAUAAAUAAUCUCAACACAAACAAAAAAAAAUCAAUUACAGGCCGCUCUACAAUUGUUCUACGUUCUCAAAUAACAAAACCAACUAUCGUUCCUGCAAAAAUGAAUAAAUCAGUUUUUAAAUUCACAACAUUUUUGUUUUUUUGUUGACCAAAGCCAAACAUUUUUUUGUCGAGGAAAAUAAUAAGCCCAAUAUAUUUUUUUGUCGACUUAAGCCCAACAUUUUAACGACAUCUAAUAAUAUAAGCCCAUUUCUUCUCAGUCCAAGAUCAUAAGAUAAGUGUUAAAUAACAAAAUUAGAGAUUCUGACUAACUACAGAUGUCAUUGUCAUCCUAGUUCCUAGAGGUCAUAGUUUUGUAUAACAAACUACUCUAUAAAGAGUAUACCAAAGAUAUUCAAUACUUAUUUUAAAAAUAUUAAUUUAAUUUUUUUACUUAUAUUUUUUUUCCAAAAACAAUUUUGACCGUACUAAAUUAUUAUUUUUUUAGUUCCAACCCUUAAUAUACAUAUAUAACAAUUUUAUGUACCUAUCUUUCUGAUGCAUUUCAAUAUUAAGGUCUUUGUUAAGUGCAAUGUAUACCAAGCACCACUCGAUCAUUGUUUCAAGAGUCCAAAAAUCAAUUUUAUCCAAAUAUUUGAUCUAAUCAUCUCUCUAAAGACUAGAAAGAACUAAUAUUGUUUUGGUCCAAAAAUCCAAAUGUUGGCAACAACAAACUUUGAAAAAUAUUUUAAAGUAAUAUCGUUACGGUUUCUAAUACAAAUACAUAAUCAUAUGUUAUUUUCUUAAAUACAACACUAUUCACCUAAAUUCUACUACAAAAACUCUACUUGAGUUACUGGAAUGGCUAAUUUGAAAGGCUACUUGAGCAACCAUUGAGAGAAUAAUAUUUACGUGCUGGUCAAGUCUAUGAAGAUAAAGAAUCCUAAAAACUAAGUACGCCUUACUAGUUAAAGACUAUCAUUGAUUAAACUCAGGAUACAAUAAUAGUCCGAGACCAAAUUGCUUUUAUUAUAAAAUAAAAUAAAAAUUGUUUUUAAUUGAAACUUAAUUUAGAAGAGGUCCAAGGUAACAAAAUCAAACAUCCUCUCCCAUUCUACGACGCAAUGAGGAUCCCUCUGAAGGGGGCUCAGCCUUCACCUUAUCCAAGAUCCUAAACACUUUAAUGUCAAUGAUUCUUUGAGAGAAUUUCUUGAACUGCAUCAUAUUAGAGAGCACAACGAAAACAGAUUAUUGAGCUUACUAAUGGAGUAAAUCAGUGUACACUAUGAAAGCUAAUAGAAAAGUAUCAAGAAUAAAGUUGUAGAGAAAGUUUUACAAGGGAAAAGAAAAACAUGUGCUAACAUAUAAGACCAAGUAUUAACAUGAAUAACAAUAACCCACAUAACGUACCACAAAUCUCUUACGCCCCUGGGAUAUGCUGAGCGACUUUACGACCGGGGGAUUAGCUGAAGUCGCCAUGAUUAAGAGAGUGUGCAAAGUUACGCGUUUCCUAAACAAGAAAUUUUGAUUCCAAAAGCUUACAAUUAAAGUUUCUACGUGCAAAGAUAGCAAUUAGGGUUUAUCAAUCUAGUUACUUGUCUGAGAAUCAACAUAAGCCUUGAAAGUGAAACAACAAAAGUAAAAGCUUACGAAAAUAAGUUUGGUUCUUAAGCUUGAGCUAGUAUGAGCUUGGGAGGAAUUUGAGAAUGCGGCAGAUGAAUUUAAGGGUUUAAGCUUUCUUUUAUUGUUUCUCAAUUAAAGAGGCGGUUAGGUUUGUUCUGGUUUUAUCUGUACUCUUUAAAAUCAACCGAUAUUCAUAAAACUAAUUCAUUUUCUUGGGCCUUAACCAACCUUAGUUCAAGCCGAGGCCUAUACAUCCUUAUUGUAUAAAAGAUUUUUUUGUUUCUUCUUCACUUUUUCGGCAUUAAUCUCUACUAAGAAAAUUCAUAAUCAUAAACAAAGAGAGAAAGAAAACUAGCUAAUUUUUUUUGAAUUUAAUGUUAAAUUAUAUUCAAAGAAAAAUAAACUGUUUAUACAUAUAAAUGCAAAUAUUUUUUUUAAAAAAUAUAUCAAAUGUGUAUCCUAUCUAUCCUUGAUUUUGAUCUUGCCUUGAAGCAAACCACACUUGGAUUCCUCUUGGGUACUUCUCUUCACCUCUCACCCUUAGCGUGCUUAAUCGAUUCUUUAUGUUUUUGUCGAUUAGCCUGAUUAUCUUCUCCGUCCUCGAUGAAAACGGAAAACUAGCUAAUUACAUGGAAACGGAAAUGAAAACGGCUUUUUUUUAUAAAGAAAUUAUGAAAUAGAGAACUAAUAGGGCAAGAACAAAUAAAUUUUGAUUUUAUAUAAUUGAUUUGAGAAGAUAAAGCUCCACCAACGUUUCUUUUUCGACGAAAUACGCGCAUGAACUCUUCCAUCAUUAGAUUAUCCAUCAACAAAUUAGUUAACUAUCAAUGUGAUUUUCCCAUGCAAUUUUUAAUCGAAAACUAAAAUCAUUACAUAGUUUUUUUAUUUUUUUUUUUAAGCAAUUUACCUUUCUCAAAUCAUCAUUUUCCAUUUGAAAUGAAUUUCUCUUUCUACACUACAAAAUUUACUAGCAGUACAUAUAGGGUAGGCUGAAUUUUCAGCCUUAUACUAGUUGGAAUCUCAACUUUUCACCAGAGUCUUUUAGCCACUUAAAAAACCAUCAUAAAAAACUUUAAUUUCGAUAAAACUACACAUACUUUCGGAUUUGUUCUUAAAACUACGCCUCCAAUUGAACCGACCAGUUAACCGAUAAUUUUUCAUCCGGUUUGACUUACCCAGAAUUUAACCAAAAUUAAUCCGAUUUUGAUUCUAUUUUAGCAAUUUUGACCAAAAAAAUGUAAAUAAAUUGUCUUCUUAAGAAGUAAAAGUAUUUUUAUUAAUUUUUAUUUGUGAUAAACAAUUAAAAAUAUUAAAUUAUAACUUAAUUUUAACAAAACUUAAUAUGACAAAAUAAACCCCAAAUUAUAUUUUGAGCCUACAUUUUGUUAUAAAAUUUUGAUAAUAUACAAACAUAUACAUUUUCCUUUUGCCAAUCAUUUCUAUUUUUUAUAAACUUAAAGCUAUGUCUUUUUUUAAAACAAAAUAUUCAUUUUUCUUGCAAUCAUAAUAUAUGACCUUAGAACUUUAUAUAUAUAAUGAAAUUCAAAAAAUAUGCCAAAUUUAUUUUUAUAUAAAUAUAUCUGUAAACACCACAAUCAAAGUAUAUAUUAUGGUAUUUAUAAAUCAAUUUUUCUUUAUAGAUUCUGUUUUCUUUUUAUAUAUUCAAGAUGAGUUAUAUAUAUAUAUAUAUGUGUGAUUAUGUGUUUUAAAAAAGAAAAUAACCUUUGAAUUAUUAAAUUUAGAGUAUAUACCAAAUACAUUUAUAUAAAUAACACCAUUGUAUUUAUAAAAAGAAUUUGUUGUCUAUUUUGUUAUAUUAUUUUGCGGUAUAUAUUUUUAUUAUAAAAGAAUUUUGGUAAAAUUAAUUAAUUUAGUAUUUUUAUCAAAAUUAAAUAAAUAGUAUUCUUCUUCUAGAGAAUAUAUUUUCUGGGUCAAAAUUGGGUUAAAAUAGAGUCAAAAUCGAAUAGGUUCGGUUAAAUUUUGGGUAAUUCAAACCGGGUGUAUAAUUAUUGGUUAACUGGUCGGUUCAAUUGGAGGCGUAGUUUUAACAACAAAUCCGAAAGUACGUGUAGUUUUAUCGAGAUUAAAGUUUUUUAUGGUGGUUUUUCAAGUGACUAAAAGUUUAGGAUGGAAAGUUGAGAUUCCAACUAGUAGAGGGUUGAAAAUUCAGGCAACCCUACAUAUAUCGUAUGCUCUACAAAAUAAAUAUAGAAUUGAUUAAUAAACAACUUUAGUUCCCUUAUAUGUAUCUGAAUUAUCAUUAAGAAAGAGUUUAUGUAUUGGCAUCAAAAGCAUCUAGGAAGAGUAGAAGGUAUGAGUUUUGACUUGUGUGCAUGCAGUCUCUGGUGCUGUUGGAUCGGUCCACCGUAAACCGAGAUUGUUCUACUAGAAAGCCCGCGAUGCUUGGUCUCCAAUCCUAGAAAAUUGAAGAUAAUUGAUCGACAAACCAAAGAUCCUCACAUAUGAAUGGAGGAGUCUCCCCUUGAAGAACCCCAUUCUUACACAUCAGAAAAGGAGACUUAAGAAUUCGAAUCAGUUCGUCCAUUAUCUAUUUAAUUUCCUUUCUCUUGUAAUUGCCGAGCCAAAAGUUAAAUAAAAGAAGGUUAGAUCCAUUUCUCUCGUCACUUGGAUUUUACCAAAAUGGGUUUAGGGUUAGAUUGAACGGACUGUACAACAAUUAAACAGGUUAAGUGUUUAGCGCCUAACAAUUUUUUUGAAAACUGCAUUUAGUAUAUUCUAUUUUAAAGCCAAGUAUACUUAAAAUUGCUUGCCAAUCCACAAAAUUUUAUUUUAAGUAAGGUUUUGACAUUUAUUUGUAAAACAUAUUUUGCACGUUUGCAAUCAAUUUGUGAAAUAAAAUUUUGAGUUAACGAAAAACCUUGCAUAUAGAAUAUGGAUCUUCGUAAGAUUGUAACAAUGAUAAGUAAGAGUAUCAUCAACCUUUUAUUAACGAGUAGGAGAAAGACGACAAACAAAAUGUAUCUUCAACGUGUUAUUUUAUCCACUUACUAAUUCAAGAUGGCAAUGUUAUUUGUCUUAUUUCUUGCCAUGUAAAACAGACUGAUGUCAUCCUGUGGCUGUAUUAUGCAGAAAAUAGGAUGUGAGGACCAUUACAAUCGUAAAUCUAACCAAACCAUUAUAAACAUUUAAAAUGAAAAAGUUUAAAAGCUAAACGUGUUAAGUGUUUGAACGAGAACAAUCGCUAGAGAAACAUAGUAAAAUUUGGAGUUGCGAGAGAAGAGAAGAGGAUAUUUUAUUUAUAAAAAUAUAUAUAUAUAUAUAUAUAUAUAUAUAUAUAUAUAUAUAUAUAUAUAUAUAUUAUGACAGGAAACUUUUGUUGAAAAUUCGUCAAAAUCACAGUUUGGUAGGAGUUCAACUUUUUUUUUGUUUCUGUGCUGAAAUUCUAGGAGUGGCAUUUUAACCAAACCAAACCCAAGCUUAGACUUUAACCAUUCGGUUAUGUCUCUUCUCAACCCAAAUGGUUCGGUUUGGUUAGGUUUGACAACCCAAUAUAUUUAUUUAAUUAAUAAUAUUGUAUAUUAUUAAAUAUGUAAUUAUUUGCACUUUUUUUUCAUGGUUUAUUUGAAUUAUUAAACUUUUUGCUUAAGCUAACUUAUAUCAAAUUUAAAGUUCAAACGAUAAUGAACAAAAUAAUUCUGUUUCAUUACAUUGAUUAGUCUUCUAAAACUAAACUAAAACCAAACCAAACUAAAGUCAAAUCAAACCAAACUGAACCGAACAUAGAUUGACCCAAAUCAAACCAAACUGAACCGAACAUAGAUUGACCCAAACCCUAACCAAACCAUAUACUAGAUCGGCUGCGGCAUAAAAAGUGGUGAUGAUGUUUUAUUCUAUGAUUUAUACACUAACCGAUGUCAAGUUGGACUUUUCCCUGAUGUAGAACGAGAUUGGAUUUUCAGAAGAACAUAAACUUCUUAACUACACAUCUAGCUUGGUUGGUAUACCGUAUCUCUAAAUUACAAUUUAUUUCCCUUAGAUAAUAAAAUUCUUAAUAAUUUGUACCAAUCGUCAUUGUGACGCUGGUUUAUGUUUUCCUACAUUUGAAGGCCUCCAUAGGCCCAAUGGAUUUCUAAUUAUAUAUCUUCAAUUGCUGGUAUAGGUAACAAGAAGAAGAAAUAAGAGAAAAAGGAAUUUACAUGACCUAACUUGGCGAAACGACAACCACAAGCAUGGCGAUGUCCAAUCUUCCAAGAGAUUUGUUGGAGGAGGUACUCUCUAGGGUUCCGGUAAAGUCUAUAGCAGCAGUGAGAUCCACUUGUAAAAAUUGGAACUCUUUAACCUACGGUCAGAGCUUCACGAAGAAGCUCUAUGGUAAAACAAUGGCAACAAAGGAAAAGGAGUUUCUGGUGGUCAUGACUAUGGAUUUGGAGGUUUAUUUAAUGAGGGUCAAUCUCCAUGGAAUUCAUAAAGAUGAUAACAAUGUUAAAUCAUCUAUCAUGCAAAAAGCUAAACUCAUUAGGCUAAAUGAUGAUCGAGUUCGAGUCGAUGAUAUAUGUAAAGUCUUUCACUGCGACGGUUUAUUGUUAUGCAUCACUAUUGGGAUCAGGCUUGUGGUUUGUAAUCCUUAUUGUGGGCAAACAAGGUGUAUCAAAACCAGAAGAGAUUACCAUAUAACCGACAAUUACGCUCUUGGACACGAGAAGAUGAAGAACAGCCCACUUCGUAACUACAAAAUCUUGGUGUUUCAUGAUAAAUCCUUCCUCCAAAAUUCUUGGUUUGAAAUCUACAAUUUUAACUCUGAUUCAUGGAAGGUUUUAUAUUUCACUUGUGACUGGAAAUUACCGUUUUCUCAACUUGUUGUGUCUCUCAAGGGAAAUACUUACUGGUUUGCUCGAGAGAUGUAUAUACACGGACCAAGAAUAGAUCUCCCUGAUUUCUUGAUUUGUUUUGAUUUUACAACAGAGAGAUUUGGACCGCGUCUUCAUCUGCCGUUUCACUCUCGUUGUGUUGAUACUGUGACUCUCGCUAGUGUUAGAGAAGAGCAGCUUGCGGUGUUAUUUCAGGACUCAAAAACGUUGAUCCUAGAGGUAUGGAUAACGACUAAGAUUGAGCCUAAUGCGGUCUCAUGGAGCAGCAAGGUGUUCUUAGAAGUGAAUAUGAGUCCACUCACUGGUUUUCAGUUUAAUCGUAGCUUUGGGAGUUUCUUCAUUGUUGAGGAGAAAAAUGUCGUUGUGGUUCCUAUUAAAGGAGGGCAUUUCAAACGAAACCUAGCUUACAUCAUUGGAAAGGAUGAAUACUUCAAAGAAGUGGAUCUUGGAGUGCCAAGUUCAUAUAUAUAUUUUUCCCCACAUGUGUGCUCUUAUGUUCCAAGUUUAGUACAAAUCAAGAAAGAUGCACAAGUGAUGCUGCAACACCAUAACGUCUCAGCAGAAAAGCAUCAUGAGUUUUGUGCAUCUUUGUGAGUUAUUUAAGUUAUAGAUAGAGCUCUUCUAUGGCAGUACAAUAAACUGUUUCCUUUUGCUCAUCUUCUAUUAUUAAUUUGUAUGUUUACCAUUGUUCUCAGGUAACUCAACAUAUAUAUUCCCGAUGGAUGACGAACAAAAAUACUUUGCGUCAUGUGUUUGGCCUUUCCACCAUUUCUUUUCUUUUUCUUUUUUCUUUUUUGAAUAUCAGGAGGUUCUGAACCGAAACCCAUAAUUUCCCAGGCGCAAAACCACAACAUGUAAUAUUAGUUUCAUUCCAGCGCACCCGAAUCGACGAUCUUUAAUCUCUAGGUUCUUUACCAAUUGAGCAAACGACACUUGAUCCUUCUAUCAUUUCUUGAUACAGUAAAAGGGCAUCUUGGAAGCUUCCUUUGGCAUUUGCUAGUUAGCUGAGAAACUAAAGGAGUAUUAGAAGAUCAUGUUUUCGUUUCAAGUAUCUGCUUUAUCCACAAAUAAAUUAAAUGCAAUUAGCUAUACAUGCCACAUCUAAUCGUUUCGGGGGAGUGCAUUUGUUGAUAUCAAUUAUGAUGGAGGCACAUGUUCCUUUGUCGUAAUAGAUUAGACUCUGGAAUUGUGACGAGAAGGCUCUUUUAAUUAUCACAAUUACAAUAAAUAAAUAGGAGCCAUUUCUAUUCUAAAUAUAUGACACAGCACGUUUCAUGGUACGUCUUUAGCUUUUCCAAAGAGAAAUAUGUUAUUUUCAAAACUUGCAUCACAUCAAGAGGGCAUGUAAGUAAAUGAUUAAUCUAACGCAAAAUCUUUUUUGUUCUUUCUUUUGCUUAGAUAAAAUAUUAAUAUCAAAUAGUCCACAAAGUGGAUGAUCGGAAAAGAGUUUUACAUUGUCUGAAUCGUUACAAAACCAAAGGAAAAAAUUGACAAGAAAGAUUGCUUGGAUCAAUACAAUAUAGGUUAAAAUUAAGCCGGUUUGGUAAAAGGUGUUACCAAUCAAACCCAAUAUAUUAUGCAUAACGCUGUACAUGGUAAACAAUGACUAACAAGUGGGUCAUAGCCUUGGUGAGCCCGGAGGAUGAGUGAUGACCCUUUGAUGGUCUUCUCCUCGAAUCGCUCGGCUGCAUUUGAACUUUUUUUUGAAAUCCAAUUUGUAUCAACCCAUCUUUCCCUCUUACUGCAAUUCAAAAACAAAUCACUAAUAAGAAGAGUUUUGCUAACACUUUUUAGAACUAUCUAAAAAUUUGAUUAGUAAAAGUUUGAUUAUGGUCUUUUAAAAAAUGGUUUGUUAAGGAGCAUGACUCCUUGAACUAUCCCCAACGUAACUGCACAUAUAUGAUUUUAGAAGAAACAAAGAAUCUAAGUAAAUCCAAGAAUAUAAACAUCAAUGAAACAAGUAUAAGCCUAACAUGGGUCAGCCUUCUAUGUUAGCCAAGUAUAACAUAGAAAGUAUAAGCCUAACAUGGGCUUAUACUUUCUAUGUUAUGUUCUUUAAUGGGUCAGCCUUAUUUCCUCCGCGAUCCAAACAGGCUAAGACCGCGAGGCCCACAUUUUUUUGGGCUUCCUUACAUGGGCCCGAACCCGCCCCGCAACAUCCCAAAACGGGCCAGGCCCGCGGAUAAGAGGCCCGAUUGACAUCUCUAGUUUCAAACUAUCUAACUACAAAUUAUUGUGAAACCAAUCAAUCUAUAUAUACAUCUAUAUAUACAUUUUUGGUAGACUUUUUGGCCAAAAAUCCCUAUACUAUUUACUAUUAACAUUCAGGUCCUUACAAAUUCUAUCAAAACCAAAUAUUUUAUGACUAAAAACUUACAAAUCGUUAAUUUUCAUUAAAUAGUUUAAUCAACUCUUUCCUAAUUUUUCAUCCUUAAUUAAAUCUUUCUUUAUUGAACUAUAUUUGAUUAAGGCUAAUUUCCUAAAAUCUCUAUAUCGAUAUUAAAUAUAAAUAUAAAAGAAGUCAAUAAAGAUAUUUGUUGUUAUAUCUAAUUUAUUUUGACUUUAUAUAUAAAAUCCAUAUAGUUAAUAAAAUAUUUGAUUUUUCUUCAUCUUAUGUAAUUCAUAUUUUUUAAAACAGGCAUAUAAUACUCAAUCGAUGAAAAAAUAAGUGUACAAGAUCCCACAUUGAUUAAAAAUUGGGAUAUCAUUUAGAGACAUACUAUAAACAAGUACCAAAAUGAAUCUGAAUAUGAAUGAGCAGGAACUUUGAUAUAUCAGACAUCUAAAAUUAAAAGUGUUAUUCGGUUUACUCCGAUUUUUUAUUUUAAAUAAUUAAAACCUUAAAAGUUUUAAGAUAUUAUAUAUAUUUCAACUUUAUUAAAAGUUAAGUAUUACAUUUAAUAAUUUUAAGAUUUUAUGAAGUUUUAAAUUUUGUAAAUAUUUGAACUUUAUAAGAAGUUUAAACAUUUAUAAAUACAAAAAAAAAAUAUGGGACGAUAUAGUACAGGUGAAAUCCUAGAUGUAAAAUCAAUAUACAAUUAUGAAGUUUGGAUUGAUACUAAAACUUUUUUGAAGUUUUCAAUAUUAUAAAUAUUCGAACUUCAUAAGAAAAUGACAAAAUGAUGUUUAAUUUCACGGGACGAGGUUAUAUGGUGGGAUGGGUUUGGAUUGAUAUUAAUACGGGAUGGUAUAUUAUGAAUGUAUCUAUAGAUCAUCUUAAAAACAAAAAUUUAAUUUUUUAUUUAAUAAAAGUAUAGGCCUAUUAUAUACCUCUUGAAUAUGUUAUUUGUAUAUAAAUAAUAUUAAUUUAAAUAAAAAUCUUUAAUUUUUUAACAAAAAUAUCAACCUGCGAGCAGCGGUGUACCGCAGGUCAAUCUCUAGAUAAUACAAGUUUUAAAUCGUUAUUACCCCUAACCACAAAAGCAAAAUAAUGAAUUUUAAUAUUAUGUGUCAAUAUCAUAUUAUUCAUAUACAAAUAAUAAUUCUUAUAAAAAAAUGAACAUAUUCAUCCGAGGUGUCCCGCGGGUCAAUAUCUAGUUUUGCUAGACUUUUUGGCCAAAAAUCCCUAUACUAUUUACUAUUAACAUUCAGGUCCUUACAAAUUCUAUCUCAACCAAAUAUUUUAUGUAUAAAAACUUACAAUUCGUUAAUUUGCAUUAAAUACUUCAAUUAACUCUCUCUUAAACUUUUUUCUUAAUUAAAUCUUUCUUUACAGAACUAUAUUCGAUUAAGGCUAAUUUCCUAAAAUCUCAAUAUCGAUAUUAAAUAUAAACAUAGAAUUUUUCUGUCACUAUAUUUGUUCUUAUAUCUAAUUUAUUUUUACUUUAUAUAUAAAAUACAUAUAGUUAAUAAAAUAUAUGAUUUUCUGCAUCUGAUAUAAUUCGAAAACAAAUAAAUAACUUAAAAGUAUAUUUUUUUAAAGUAAUAAAAAUUGUCCGGAAGUAUAUCAUAGUAUCAUACAUAAAAAACAAUAGCAUGUAUCUAUAAAUCAUCUUUAAAAAGAAAUUCAAUUUUUUAUUUAAUAAAAAUAUAUGCAUGUGAUGCACUUCUUGAAUAUGUUAUUUAUAUAUAAAUAAUACUCCCUCUGUUUCAUAAUAUAAGUUGUUUUAGACCAAUUUUUUUGUUUUACAAGAAAAGUUAUUUUCUAGUUUCUAUGCAAAUUAUAUGUUACUUUAAUAUUUUAUGAUUACUUAUAUUAUUUAGUCUCUUUUAUGAUUGGUUGAACUUUUUCAAAGUAAAUAUUCUUAACUGAAACAACUUAUAUUGUAAAACGGAGGGAGUAUUAAUUAAAAUAAAAAUCACUAAUUUUCUAACAAAAAUAUCAACCUGCGGUUUACCGCAAAUCAAUCUGUAGAUAAUACAUGUUUUAAAUAUUUAUUACCUCUAAAAAACCUUAACCACAAAAAUACUGAAUUUUAAUAUUAAACUAAUAUACAACAAAUAUCAGAACAUAAAACAUGAAUUAUCCAAACUUUACAUAGAAAAAAAAUAUAUGUCAAAAAUAUAUGCCGUGAAUUCGAAACUUGUGUUUGCCAAAACAAUCGCACAUUUGCAAUUUCGUUAAAUUUCUGUCUUAAAGACAUAAUCUUUUUGAUCAUUUAGCUUCCAUAGCUACCGUAGUAUCUAAUUCCUUCCCUUAGAUUUUGAUUUCUCUCAUUUUAUGUUUAGCGUUAACGCAAACGAGUUCAAAAUUUUGAGUUUUCGGUUUCUUAUUUUUAGAUACAUGCCUCAUAUUUAGACUUUUGCUGGUAUCUUGCUUGAUUCCUUUUGCAAUUUCUCUUGUUUACCUUGAAAUAUAAUUUUGUAUUGAUUGAUAAUACACUUGGUGUGAGCAGUUUUUGAUGGGAAGGGAUCAAAUGGAUAACAUUGUGGAAUCUUUGCAAUUAGAUAAGAGUAAGUUCUUAGAGGAAUCGAGAAAGAUGACAUUACUAAGCUCUUUCAGCCAUGUCUAAACAUUUUCAAAUGUACAGUAUUAAAUUACAUUGUAGAUAAAAGCGCGCUAACAGCUCCUCGAUAAUUAUAUUACAAAAAAAAAACGUGCGGUUUGGCGUGGUUUGCCCUAGAAUUUUUAAUGUCUUAGUACUCCAAUGUUUUUUAUAAAAUUUAAUGUUGGAUUUUAAGAGUGAUUUUUCUAUGAUUAAUAUACAUAUAAACUAAAUUCCUUAAUUAUUAUUUUUGAUACAACUUAAAUUGAUUCAUGCACUUACCCUUGCUAUACAGAAACCUAGAAAGAAAAUUUGAAUUUUGGCAUUUAAUCUUCACACACAUUAUUAGACUUUCGAUUUAAUUCAAUUAAAACUCUUUUUUCUUACACAUUAAAAUUUGUGGUUGGACACUAUAUAUAUCCUUUUGCUUUGACGGGAGUUGUGAAAGCGACAAGCAAAUAUAUAAACGACCUUAUCAACAAAGCAAACGUAUAGCUACAAACGAUUGUGAGCUUUUAUAUCAAACAAUGCAAACAUAUAGAUCCUCAUAACUAACGUGGUACACCCAUAUAUAUAACUUAUAUAUUUGUAAAUCUGCUUAAAACUUUACAACUUACGGCCUUUAUACCUUUAGAUACGGCUAUGCAACUAUACUUUUACUGGAUUUGUAGGUUUGCAUGCAAGAUUUAAGUGCCAUAAACCUAAAGCCUAAGGGUCAAUGUAAAUAUAAAACAACCUAAAUCUAGAUCUUUAUAUCACUUUGCUCUUUUCAUGAUCUCUCUCUUAAGUUUGGUUUUCCCUUCUUUCCUUUCCUCUAGUGAUUCACCACCUCUGUCACCGUGGCAAGAAUGCAUAGUAUGUCUGCCUAUUUCUGAAUGCCGCAUGCGAUUUUAACCACACAAAAUAAGAGGGAAUCAAAAGAUUUUUUAGAAUAGUAUAAAUUUCAUUAUUAUUUUAAUUGAUAGACUCUAUGGAAACAGCCAUUUUUCUGAAGAAAAAAACUACGGUUCUAGCCUCAAAACUAUCACGUUAUCUUCCAUGUCAACUGUCGGUUACGCACAAUGUUAUUUUAGUCAAAUUUUAAUAGAUGGAAAUGGUCACUAUCUUUGAUUUAUUCCAUAUAUCAUAUAUGUGUCAUUUACUUAAUUUGGGGACUGGGGUUAAAACGUGGCUACUACAGCAAUUUUAUCUUAAACUAAGUAAGCAGCUCCUUGGAAGGUAAGAUAGACCGAUCAACGUACGAUUAAGUAUAGGGUAAAUUGCAGGCCACACCCGUUGACCAUGUUUUAUUUCCAUGGAUUGUCAAAGUCAAAUGUGGUUUUCACCAUUUGUCUUUUCGCCUGCAAAAUGACGCUUCUGCCCUUGCGCUUCUCUCUUAGCAACUGUUGAAAUGUACGGUUUAGUUUAGCAGGUUUAGUUACGUACACUGUUCCGGUUCAGUUGAAGAUUUUUUGUUCACGUUGACGCGAUCGGUUCCGUUACAAGUGAGAUUAUUCCGAAGUGACAUCAACAUUUAAUGCCCCCAAAAAGUUUAGAUGUGACUAUUGUCACAAUUAAUGCAAAAUCAUCAUUACAUCAAAUAAUAUUAAAAAAAUUAUUAAUAAUAAUUAAAAAAAAUUUGUUGAGAUAAAGAAGAUGAACCCAGGAACAAAGAAUUAUUGCGAACGUACAUUGCUGCUGAAGAAGUGUUGAUCUUGUUUUUGUACCAAGUUUGGAGCAUUGCUCGUGUAAGUAAUGAAGUUCUUUUAAGAAGUUUUUUUUAUGUCAUAUUAGGAUCUUGAUUGUGUUCGAACUCCAUUUUUUUAUCAGAAUAUUUGCAAAAUCUAUAUCUGUUUGUUUAAAAUAGUCAAAUGAUAAUUGGUAUUUAGGUUUAUAAAUGUGUAGUAUCGACAUUCCAUUUGUUUUUUAUAUGUAUAGUAUUUUUCAGUUGCAUUUAAUGUGUGUCUCCUGAAUUUAUGAUGCAGGUGGGUUAUGGAUAUUCCCGUAUUUACCAUGGUCGGUGAGUGGAAAUGCAAAGAAGGAGAAUUGAAAUUUGAACCUGAGGAAGGCAUCUUUGGUCGUUGUGUACGCGUUCAGGAAACCAUGACGUACACGGACUUUGUCCGUACACUCCGAGAGGCUUUCAGUUUGAAGUCCACCGAGAUCAAUCCCAUAAUUAGCUACUGGAUGCCGGGUGAAAUGUCAAUGCUGAUAGAUACUAAACGCCCUCCUGUAUACAUUGACAGUCAGAUGGGUCUCGAGACGUUUUUUUUGGUUCGUGGUGGGUAUCUUUCUCUCAACUUGUUUGUCUCUUUCAAUAAUACAGUGAAGGCGUUCGGGAAUACUGUCUCUAGGUCUCAUGGUGAAGUUUCUGAAAGUGACCGUGUGUUUGAUAGUGCUACAAAUGUUGAUGAAAAUAAUGAGGAUGCAGAGGAGCAAGCCGAUGUUGAAGACGAUACAACAGAAGAGGAUGAAUUGGAGGAGGGCAACGAAGAUGAUGAUGGGUGUGAUGAUUAUCUUGGUGUGGAUGGAUCUAUUGGGGGAAGUACCCUGUAUCCUACCACAGACGGUAGUGAAGGUAUUGGCGAAGAAUACGAUUACAACAAGUGGAACGAUGUAAUAGUAGAAGAAUACGUACAAGGAAAUCUUGAGGAAGACGUCAGUCUCACUCAACAGACUGCUCAACAUCCAGGGAAAUUCAGUCGUUUAUUGGAAACGUGUACGUACACGGGUGUUAGUGUACCUGGCGGAGAUACAGGGGAAUUCAGUCGUCUCUUAGAAACGUGUACGUACACUGGUCUUAGUGUACCUGGCGAAGAAACAAUCUCUCAAUUGGGUUACGGUACACGCUGCGAAGGGCAAAGGGAUUCCAAUCUUAUUUGUAUAGACGAAGUCACCGGGGAUGAAGUGAUCGAAGGUAUUGGAGCUUCCUCAACUGGGACACAAAAUGAUAAUGGGGUAGUUACCGCAGCUGAGGCUUACCAAGUGUAUAAUGAAUUUCCUAAGUUACAUGGUGGCGAGUUGGCGAAUCUCGGUAACGAUGCUGCUCCUGUGUUCGAUGACUUACUCAAUUUUCGAGCUGAUGAGACACAGGUUGAAAUCAGCACCACAGGCGAAACUUUGUUUGUUGGAAGUGUUUUUAAGAAUAGAAAAGUCCUGCAACAAACAAUGUCUCUUCAAGCGAUAAAGCAAUGCUUUUGCUUCAAGCAACCUAAGUCAUGUCCUAAAACAUUGAAGAUGGUGUGCGUUGAUGAGACUUGUCCAUGGCAAUUGACUGCUCGCGUCGUGAAGGAUUCAGAAAGUUUCAAAAUCACUUCGUAUGCUACGACACAUACGUGUAACAUCGACUCUCGGAAGAACUACAAUAAACAUGCUAAUUAUAAGCUCCUCGGAGAAGAUGUGAGGAGCAGAUACAGUUCUACGCAGGGUGGGCCGCGAGCUGUCGACUUACCACAACUGCUCCUAAAUGAUCUGAAUGUGCGUAUUUCAUAUUCUACCGCUUGGAGAGCAAAAGAGGUUGCAGUGGAAAAUGUACGGGGGGAUGAGAUAGCAAAUUACAGGUUUUUGCCGACCUAUCUGUAUCUUCUCCAAUUAGCUAAUCCGGGUACAAUAACACACCUACACUAUACACCAGAAGAUGAUGGUAAGCAGCGCUUCAAGUAUGUCUUUGUCUCUCUUGGCGCUUCUAUCAAAGGUCUGAUAUAUAUGAGGAAGGUAGUUGUGGUAGAUGGAACGCAGCUAGUCGGACCUUACAAAGGAUGUCUCCUUAUUGCAUGUGCCCAAGAUGGGAACUUCCAAAUAUUCCCAAUAGCUUUUGGUGUUGUUGAUGGUGAGACCGAUGCUUCUUGGGCAUGGUUUUUUGAAAAGUUAGCUGAGAUUGUUCCAGACAGUGACGAUUUAAUGAUUGUCUCGGACAGACAUUCAUCUAUAUACAAAGGCCUAAGUGUUGUUUACCCGAGAGUGCAUCAUGGAGCAUGUGCUGUUCACCUUGAGCGAAACCUCUCCACCUAUUAUGGUAAGUUUGGUGUGUCUGCUUUAUUUUUCAGCGCUGCCAAAGCUUAUAGGGUCAGGGAUUUCGAGAAAUAUUUUGAACUGUUAAGGGAAAAGAGUGCUAAAUGCGCAAAAUACCUAGAGGACAUAGGAUUUGAGCAUUGGACAAGAGCUCACUGUAGAGGAGAACGCUACAAUAUCAUGUCUAGCAACAACUCUGAGUCCAUGAAUCAUGUGUUAACAAAAGCAAAAACUUAUCCGAUUGUUUACAUGAUCGAGUUCAUUCGGGAUGUCCUAAUGCGAUGGUUCGCAUCGAGGAGGAAGAAAGUUGCUAGGUGCAAAUCUUCUGUGACACCUGAGGUUGAUGAGAGAUUUCUACAAGAGUUGCCUGCGUCAGGUAAAUACGCUGUGAAGAUGUCUGGACCGUGGAGCUAUCAAGUGACAAGUAAAUCCGGGGAGCAUUUUCAUGUCGUUCUGGACCAGUGUACGUGUACGUGUCUUAGGUACACCAAGUUAAGAAUCCCAUGUGAACACGCUCUAGCAGCUGCAAUCGAGCAUGGAAUUGAUCCGAAGUCUUGUGUCGGAUGGUGGUAUGGCCUUCAAACGUUUUCUGAUUCUUUCCAAGAACCAAUUCUACCUAUCGCGGAUCCGAAAGAUGUUGUCAUCCCACAACAUAUAGUGGAUUUGAUACUCAUUCCUCCAUACAGUAGACGGCCACCAGGAAGACCACUGUCCAAAAGGAUCCCAUCUAGAGGUGAAAACCGGGUAUGUACUAACAUCGUUCAUUCAUCUACUUGUAUUUUGAGUAUUACCAUGCGGAGAUUUGUAACUUCCUGUCUUUGUCACUUCAGAAAAAGAGACAGAAAAGACUUUUACCAAAUCAGUGCUCACGCUGUCGACAAGCAGGUCAUAACAAGAAGACGUGCAAAAAUCCAAUCUAGUUCCGGUGACAAGUUUCUGAGCCGGCCAAUAUAGUGUACGCUUCUGUGUUUUCUCGGUGUACGUAAGUUUAUAUAUAAUCCACCUGUAACUAUGUACGUUGUGUACGUACGUUUAAACUCUACGUUCGUAUAACUAUGAACGUUUUUGUCUGUGUACGUGUUAAAGUUCAUGUAAUAAGGGUACACAGAGGUGGUUGCUCAAUAUUUUGAGUAAUUUGAAAUAAGUUUUUUGAAAAUCUAACUUAUUCCCCCUCUUAAAUGAACGGAGUUGGAGACAUGGUUGGGUAUAUUGUGGUUGUGUUGGUAUUUAAUGGAAAGGACGUAACUGUUGCUGUUUAUUGUCAAAUCAACGUUAUGAUUACCCUAUAUGACGGUUACCAGGCUAUUACCAAAAAUUUGAAUCAAGUGUAGUUGUAACCGCAUUAAUAACUGUAGCCGUUCCAGAUUUCCUCUAUUUAAGUCUCCUCCCUUCCUUAAUUUUAUCCACAAUCCUCAUUCUAAACCCAUUUCUUGUGCCGGCAGUUAUAUCAUUCACAAAAAAAAAUUUAGUCUUUCGAAUCGCUUGUUCUUGCUAUCCGUGAGAUGGAGGGGUUUCAUACGGUCUCAGAAUUGUGUCCUCUGAUCACUGGGUGGCGAAUUUAUGUCUUUGUCGUGAGGGUCUUCAAGAAGGUUAUAUCGCCCAACGUCUUCGAACUCGGCCUUAUCCUGGCAGAUUACGAGGUUAUUUCCGUUAAAUUAUUAUGUGUUUUUCUCGUUCAUUCGCUUAACUUAUAUAUUAAACUCUCUACUAUCAUGUUCUGUAUGUAAAGAAUAACCGUAUUGAGGCCAUCGUUGAUCGUCGCCUUGCUCCGUUUUACGAAGACCGAUUCGUUGAAAAUGAGUGGAAGACGAUCACCACCAGUUCCAGAUUUCGAUUUCACUCCCUUCGACUACAUUUUGGAUAAAUCUGCUUACAAGAACGUUUUAGUCGGUGAGGAGGAAUAACUCUGACGCUUCAUUUAUUACAUUUUUGAAAAUGUUUGUUUAUUAUCUUUGUUUCUCCAUCAUCUAGAUGUCAUUGGAGCGUUGGUUGAUGUUGGCGCAUUGACUACAGACUAUUACGGUCUCAAACUGAGUUUCAAGUUAAAAGAUAGAUAGUAAGUGUUCUUUUCAUUUGUUUUAUUUACAAUGUCACUCUAAACGCUAACAGUCCUUAUUUCUAACGUAGCAAUGAAGUCUUGGAGUGCGAAGCCCGCAAUCAACAGGCGGAGUACUUGGAUGGUUACUUUCAGAGUUUGGGUAAGGGAAAUUUUGUUGUCGCACUCAGCUUUUGGCGUCUAACUGAACUGUCUAACCCGAAGCUUGAGAGCCAUGGUGCUAUUUCAAAGGUGGUUGCCAAUCCGGACAGAGAAGAAGUUGCGGAUAUCUCGAUGGUGGUUUUUUAGCUAGAGGGAAUGAACCAUUAUUCUCCGUUUUAAUAUAAUAUAAGACUACAUUUCAAUUAAGUUUUCUUUCCCAGUUGUUGUUGUUGUUUCCAUAAGAACCAAAUUACAUUUCAGUCGUUGUUGUUUCUUGUUUCCGUUUAAAUUUUAAUCUAAUUUGUUGUUUUAUGUACGUGCCUUGUUUUAUUGUUCAAAUCCUCUCGCAAUGUACGUAUAGUUUCUGGUGUACGCUAUCGUGUACGUAUAUUAGUUUUGGUGCCUUCAACAUCAAAAACUGUUAGAUUUAUACUUAUGUUGUGUACGCAAUUUCCCAAUGUACGAUAAACGAAGUUUAAUGUACUAUAUAGUGUACGUACACGAAGACAUCUAGUAAUACUUAAAGUGGUAAUUCAUUCAAAAGCCAGAAACAUAAAAAAGGACAGGCAGUUUAUAUAAAAGGAAAUUCAUAAGAUAAGAUAAAUAAACUGGAACGAUUCAAAAAACAUAAUUUUUUAAACGAAGCAUACACAUGUGUUGCAAAAUAUGUGUGCAUCCGUCAUACCAAAAGACUCGAGAGUAGAGCCGAGUAGAGUAGCUUAGACCUUAGCAGCUUUGCUUCUAGUAGAAUAUAGCCAUCUCCCUGGCGUACUAGUAGAAAAAACAAACCCUGCAGCCAUGAUGGAACGUGCAUUGCCCUACGCAACUCGGCGGGUGGACAAACCUCCAAGACCUUUCCCAGCGGCGAGCAUUUUCAGUGUGAAGCUGGCUGAUGUGAUACAUCACCAUCUCUGCAACCACGUGGCCAGCUUCAAGGGUGGGUGUCAUUUCCCAGAACUUUUCGCUGAUAGGGAGGAAAUCCAAGUGAUUACCGGUACACGUAAGGAACAAACCGGUUGCGAAGCAAUCAAAGGGAUCAGAUAAAGCGACCGUUGUCAUGACUGAAAGGCCCUGAGCUACUGUCACGAAGUUGCUCGCUUGGCGAACACCUUCAAGGUAAACCGCCGGGAUGGAUCCACGUUCUACAAGCACCUCGAAGUAUGGCCGGAAGGGAGACCCCGGUUGGAGUAACGACGGCCACGUCAUGAAUUCAUCGAUUGCAAGGGUGUUGAUGUCACAACUGUAGUCUGGCUGACGGGGAGGUAGUUGACAAGUAUGCUUAUGGGGUUUGGCAAUUGGAUUCCUAGGUACAACUCGGUUGGAAGGGUUAGCGGAGGUAGGAAAGGCAUUGUUUUUCAAACGAGGAGGUUUAGACGGAUUCGUGUAUUCAACUAAGUGUGUUUGUCAUGAGUUUUAAAGAGGAGAAUAACCAUCAAUGUAAGUGGGUGGGUGACGUGGAUGUAUAUUUAGUGCAUCAUAUUAGUAACUUUUAUUUAUUAGAAUUGAAGAAUGAAUAAACAUGGAACCCAAAUGCAACUUCUCAAAUGUUAUUACUAUAUCUUCUUCUUUUUCUUAAUUAUUAUUAUAACAUGUAACGUAAGCUAAAAUUUUAACAGAAAUAAGUUGAAAAAGUUAUCUAUUUUAAAAAUAAGUUAAAACACUAUUUUGGUAUGGGAGGAGUUGCACCGGCAACUCUUGAACAUUGUUCCUUUAGCAUCGGAGGAAAAAACGGAAUGAAUGGAAUUUUCGGUAUGCAAUUAUCGGCGUCCAAAAAUGCUUUGCAACAAGCCGGACUUAAAUUACCAAACUUUCCAGUAAAAAUGGAUUGAGAAAUCUCUGCAAUGCAUUCAGGAAUAUCCAUCACGGAUGAGAAACAUUUAGUUAUAUCAGGUAAUCCAGGAAUCAGUUGGAACGGAAACGGAAAAGGAAGUUGAGCCGGAAACUGAGGCAAUUGAGCAUUUACAGAAACUAUGAUACAUAGAACCGCUAGAAGUGAAAACACAUUUUUGAUAGACAUAAUGAGAAAUUGAGUAAAAAGUCUUAGUAUUGCAACAAUAUGCUUAAUGCUUUGUUUGUUUUUGAUUGAUGAAUAACAAUAAAAUCCUUGCUUAUUUAUAUGGAUUGAAAUGUGAAACUGUCAUAUUAAUUUUUUUAAUUUAACAUCUUUGAAUACUUUAAUUAGGUAUUUGAUUAGCCGUUUUAUAAAUUUAAUAAAGUUGAAACUCCAUGUGUGAAACAAGUAACAUUAACUAAGAAAUAUUGACUACUAAGAGAAAAUAAAAGUAAAACGGCUUCACAUAAUUAAUCAAUCAUCGGUUUAUAUCUACAAAUUUAAACAAAUAAAUCGAUUUAUAAUAUUUUCUUCGUGAAAUUAUUUGAAUUAAUCUAAAGGUUUGGUUUGUAAAACUUCUAUACAAUGAGUUUCUCCAUGACUUGUUAACACUAAACUUAAAGGUGAAGAGUUUCUGGAUAGCGGGUUAAACGGUUGGAAAUAGCAGUUCGGAUCGGGCAUGAAAAGAAUGAACAUAAUCCAAUAUAUGUGCCAAAUAUCUACAUAAAUUUGGGUUUUGAAAAUUGUUAACUCACGUGAUCAUGACUCGUGUCAAAUUUAUUAGUGAAAUAUCCACACAUAUCAAAUCAAAUUUUGUUAUUUUUAGGGUUUUGUGCAAACAAAAACCCUCUAACUCAUCUAUUUUGCAUCUUUAUUCUCCACCUCCAAAAAAUGCAUAAUUAUCAGAUAAAACCUAAAAUCAUACGCAAUAUAACCCCUUUUCGUCAUUUUUAUCUACAACAAUAUUUUGUAAAAUAUUGAUAUUUAAUAUGUUAAAUCGAAGCCUUCUCGAAAAAAGCUUAACUCGACCUUCAAAAUUUUAAAAAUCUAAUCUAUGGGAGUGUAAAAAAGUUUACAAUAUACGUAUAAGGGUCAUAUUGCGUAUUAUUUUAGACUUCAUAGGAUUAAUAUGUGUUUAUUAGAGAUAUAGGGUAAAAUUAAAAAACUAGAUGAGUUAGAUGGGUGUUUUGCACAAAACCCUAUAUUUUUAAAAAACAAAAUAUAGAAACAUUUCAUAACCCCAUCGGAUAUAUACACAAGUAAAAAAAAAUAGUUCAUAUAUACAAAUGUUUUAUUUAAUAUAUUAAAAUAUUGAACAAAUUCUAAUAAAAAUCAUUUAUAUAUUCACAACAGAAGUAAAAGUUCCCUAUUUUGUUUUAGAAAAAUAUUAAUACGUGAUAUAAUAUUUUCUAAUUUUGUAACUUAAAUAUAUCUCUCUUUUUAUUUCUUAAUUUUAUUUCAUUUCAUUUUUUUCUCAAUUACAGAGUUCAAUUCGUUUACUACAAAAUUCAGUGAGAGGCUUUGUUUGGUGCGUCUUUUUAUAGAUGUUGUAUGUUUUCCUUGUUUUAUUUUUCUUUAUACUCUGAGAAAUCUCGUAUUAUAUAUAAUUAGUAAAGGCAUGGUAUAUAAAAUGUAUAUAAUUGAAAUAUUCUUUUGAAAAAUACCGAUUACUAUUUAGAAUUUUUAUAUCAUCACAACAUUUCUCACACCAGCAUAUUUAGACGAGUCUUAUCUAAUAAAAUUAUACUCUCAAAUUUUGUGUUAUCACAUAUUUUAAAGAUUUAUGAAAACAAUUUGAAGUUCUGUUACAUUAUAAGACUAAAUUCAAUUAUGGAGUCGAUGUUUCAAGAUGUUAUUCAUAAGAAUUGAAGAAUGAAUAAACAUGGAACCCAAAUGAAACUUCUCAAAUGUUAUUAAUAUCUUCUUCUUUUUUUAAUUAUUAUUAUUACAUGUAACGUAAGCUAAAAUUUAAAAAAAAUAAGUUGAAAAAGUUAUCUAUUUUAAAAAUAAGUUAAAACACUAUUUUGGUAUGGGAGGAGUUGCACCGGCAACUCUUGAACAUUGUUCCUUUAGCAUCGAAGGAAAAAACGGAAUUAAUGGAAUUUUCGGUAUGCAAUUAUCGGCGUCCACAAAUGCUUCGCAACAAGCCGGACCUAAAUUACCGAACUUUCGAGUGAAAAUGGAUUGAGAAAUCUCUGCAAUGCAUCCAGGAAUAUCCAUCACGGAUGAGAAACAUUUUGUUAUAUCAGGUAAUACAGGAAUCAGUUGGAACAGAAACGGAAAAGGAAGUUGAGCCGGAAACUGAGGCAAUUGAGCAUUUACAGAAACUAUGAUACAUAGAACCGCUAGAAGUGAAAACACAUUUUUGAUAGACAUAAUGAAAAAUUGAGUAAAAAGUCUUAGUAUAGCAACUAUAUGCUUAAUGCUUUGUUUGUUUUUGAGUGAUGAAUAACAAUAAAAAUUCUUGCUUAUUUAUAUGGAUUGAAAUGUGAAACUGUCAUAUUAAUUAUUUUAAUUUAACAUCUUUGAAUAUUUUAAUUAGGUAUUUGAUUAGCCGUUUUAUAAAUUUAAUAAAGUUGAAACUCCAUGUGUGAAACACGUAACAUUAACUAAGAAAUAUUGACUACAAAGAGAAAAUAAAAGUAAAACGGCUUCACAUAAUUAAUCAAUCAUCGGUUUAUAUUUCUAAAUUUAAACAAAUAAAUCGAUUUAUAAUAUUUUCUUCGUAAAAUUAUUUGAAUCCUAAAGGUUUGGUUUGUAAAACUUCUAUACAAUGAGGGUCUCCAUGACUUGUUAACACUAAAUUUAAACCAGAGAAGUUUUGAGAUAGCGGAUUAACCGGUUGGACAGAGCAGUUGAGAUCAGGCUUGAAAACAUUGAACAUAAUCUAAUAUAUGUGCCAAAUAUUUAUAUCUACAUAUACGUUUUUGCAGCCAUUUUGUCAAAUAAAUCAUGGAGUUGGAAAUAAUUUACAAUGGCUGCCAUUGGCAUUUAUUAUUUAGUGUUACAAAAUUUAAAAAGAUAUUAACCAAACAAUAUCUUUCCUAAUUUAUUUCUAAAAAUCUCUACACAAUCUUUCCGUAUAUCUUCAAAAAUACAAUUCCGUGAAUUUUACACCAUAAAAUAUGCAUAAACCCAAUUUAUAGAAAAUAUUUAUAUUAACAUUUUGCAUAGCAAUAAAAAUACUAAUUUAUAAUAAUGAAAAUAUUCACAUAAAAAAUCAUAUAAACAUACAGAAAAAACUAUAUAUAUCAUUAUUUAAGCCAUUGCUUUAUUUAAAUAAAAAAAAACAUAAAAACUUGAAAUCAUAUACUUUAUAUGAUAAAUUUAAAAUCUAUAUUAGUAGUAGAAAUUUAAAAUCAUUCAAGAAACGGUAUAACACGGGUGAGAUCUUAAAAUUAUUGUAUUUAUAACAAUAAUAAUUUAUUUUCUUUGAUUUUAUAAUACUAAUAUUUAGCUAACGAGAUAAUAUAGACAGGUUUAUAUAGGAUGACAGGUUUUGAUCGAUAUUAAUGAAGAAAGGUAUAUCAAGAAUGAAAUCUUAAAAUUUACAAUUAAAAUACAAUUGUACAAUCUUAAACACAAAAAACCAUACAAUUUUAACAAAACGAAUAUAACUUGAAAUUUAAAUUUUUUAGCUAUAAAAAAUAGACUCACGGUAUACUGCGGAUAAAAUAUUCAAAAUUUUAAAAUCCACGAUACAUCGUUACUUAAAAAAUAUGUGUUUUCGUACCUAUACUUCAAAAAUUGAAACCUAAACAAUAGUAAUCAUAUACUAAAUAAUACAGAGAUUGAUAUCUACAUUUGAAAAUACAAAUUAAUAUAUAUCUUCAGUUAGUCUUUUUAAAAAAUAACAUUAUAUUUUUGUUAAAAAUAUAGCCUCGCGGUGUACCGCGGGUUAAACUCUAAUAAAGUUGAUUUUUCAAAAUUGUUAACUCACAUGAUCAUGAGACGUGCCAAAUUUAUGAUUGUUACACAUAUCAAAUCAAAUUUUGUUAUAAAACCCUCUAACUUAUCUAUUUUUGCAUCUUUAUUAUCGACCUCCAACAAAUGCAUAAUAAUCCAAUGAAUUCUAAAAUAAUACUCACUGUAACCCUUUUUGUUCAUUUUUUGCUACCAAAACAUUUUGUAAAUGCAUUACAUUAUGCGUCGAGAAUAUAUCAUAUAUAUUGGGAAUGCAUUACAUUAUGCGUCAUGAUUAUGAUUUUGAGAACGAGAGUAGGAAAAAAUGGGACAUGGAACGGGAACUACGCCGACUCCUAAAUAUUUUUAUUUCACUCAAGCGGGUUUAAUGAUUUUUCGACUGUUUUAAUCCAAUUUGAUAGCUCACAAGUUUAAUAGAAAUUUAACGAGGACCAAUCCGGUUGAGUUGGAACACGGUCCGACCGCUGGAUCAUUCCUAAUUUUAAUAAAAAUGAACCAUUAUUAUUUGAACUAGAUUUUAACCCGCGAUACACCGGGAACAAUUUGUUUUUUAAAGUUAUUAUAUAUAAAAGUUUACAAAUUGUAUUUAUCUAUAAAAUAUUUUAUUUUAUAGUUUACAAAUGUUAUUAAGUAACGUCCUGCCAAACCCGUCCCGUAAAAAAAACAUUUAUUUUAUUAACGUUGAUCUUAUUUAUGAUAUGUUUAUAAAUCAUUGUCUAUAGAUUUUGUAAUUUUGUAGUAAUUAAAUGCUAUCAAAUUAUAUCUCUGCGCUUUGAUGAUUAUAAUUGAAUUGUUAUAGUCAUGGAGAAAAGCAAUAUCAAAAAUGAUAAUUUUGUAGUAAUUAAAUGAUACUCCCUCUGUUUCUAAAUAUUUGUAGUUUAAGGUUUUUACACACAAAUUAAGAAAACAUACAAAUUUCAUUUAAUUUAUCUAUUUCCUAUAAAUGCAUCAUUAAUUACAACUAAUCCAACCAAUAAAAAAAUAUGAGAUAAAAUAUAAUUGAUUAAAAACUAUUAAAUACAUUUAAUUUUUGUAUAGAAAAGUGAAAAUAACACUUAUAUUGAAAAAAAUAAAAAACCUUUAAACUACACUUAAUUAGAAACAUAGGGAGUAUUAAAUAUUUUGGAAGUUUUAUUUUAGUAAAUAAUCGUGUAGUUAAUGUGGAGAGAUUUUGGGAAGAUUGUUAAAUGUCAAAUAUUUAAUUCGAAGAUUUUCUUUCUAAUUAUCAAAAACAAACAUUAAAUUUCAAUGGCAGCCAUUGUAAAUAAAUCUCGAUUACAGGAUUUAUUUCACAAAAUGACUGCAAAAAUGUAUAUAUAGUAAUGCUAGUAAACCAGAAUGAAACCAAACCAAAAACAAAACUAAAUAUCCAACUGGUAUGAAUUCAUGUUAUAAAUAUAUAUCAAAUAAUUUAUUUAUAACCUACGAUGUUAUAAACAGGGGCGGACCCACAUUAUAGUUUGUAGGGGCAGUUACCACCAGUAAUAUAUAACUAAUUAAAGUUUUUAGCUUAAACAAUAUAGUUAAAGUAGCAAAAUGGUAGAGAUUGCCUCCACUAAGUGCUGAAGAUAGCAGGUUCGAUUCCCAUUUAUUUACAUUUUGCACCCACUUAAUUUCUUGGCGGAUAUUUUAACUUUUAAACUCAUGUAACAUCUUCCGGAAUAAAAUUCUUGAUUCUACUAUUUUCCAACUAAUCUACACACAAAGUCAAUUACAUUAAUCACCUCGUGCUAUAGCAAGGUUUAGUACCUAGAUAAAAGUUAAAAAUGUAAAAUUAGAAACGAAGAUGUAAAUAAGUAAUAUCUAAGGUAACAAAUUUAGAUAUUUGGAAGUUUUCUGUUUUUGGUUUUAUAUACAAACAAGAUAUACGUGCUAACGUAAUGAACAAUCAACUAGAAUUAUCCCUAACUGGGAGAAGUUUAAUACUUUCUUGUGUACUACCAAUUUUUUUUUCCUUUUUUUUUUUGAAAUUCAGGAGGUUCUGGGUCGAAGCUCGUAAUCUCCCCAGGCCCGAAACCACAUCAUGUAUUAUUAGUUUCGUCCCAAGCAUCACUCGAACCGGCGACCUCUAAGCUUCGCCUAGGGUCUUUACCAAUUGAGUUAACAACACUUGGUCGUGUACCACCAAUUACUCUCUUGUUCCCUUAAGAACCGUAUCAAAACAAUGGAACGCUCUCUUCAACGACAAGACGUUCAUCAACAACCACAAGACAACGUAUCGAUUCAUCUUAACAACCAAAUUCAAGAUUUAUUCGGUAAGCAUUCAUCCGAAGAUAGAAAUAUAUGAAUUAACCUUAGAUAUUCCUGGUUUAGAAUCCCAGAUACCUAAAAACAUGGUAGAUUGAUUGCUACGUUGCAUGGAGAAAGGAGCUGUGGUUUGGAACCCAUGCUUGAGACAGAGUGGAUAGAUCGAGCAAGAUUUACACCAAACUCAAUGGAAUCCUAUGGCAUAGGAUACAACAAUAAGGGGAGUUACAAGAUCAUUGCUGGUUGUCGUCUGAAGGAACAUCCCACAAAGACCUUGUGGACAAUGCAUGACUUUGCCUCCAAUGCUUGGAAAUACCUCAAGUCAGUAUCUGGUAGUGUAAUAGUCAGGAAGGAAAAACGGCUGAAUUGAAGUACUCACCACAAGUUGUGUAUUAUUUUUGAUGACAAGACUGAUCCCAUGUACACCUGCCCUAUAUAAAUUCAAUUCCUCCAGGGAAUUCUUUUUCAGAUUUUGUCAUCUACCAUGUGGAACGAUAGACUAUCGUAAGGAUGCUCUUGUACUCAGGGUUUAUGAGGGGGAUCAAUUUUCAUUGUUAAAUCAAUGCCAUGCAACAAAGAAGAUUGAGGUCUGGGUGAGCAAGUACAAGAUUAAUAAUAAUUGGGUUGCCUGAAUUUUUAACCCUAUACUAGUUGGAGUCUCAACUUUCCACCAUAAACUUUUAACCACUUGAAAAACCAGCAUAAACAAUUUUAAUCUCGAUAAAACUACAUGUACUUUCGGAUUUGUUCUUAAAACUACGUCUCCAAUUGAACAGACCAGUUAACCGAUAAUUAUACAUCCGGUUUGACUUACCCAUAAUUUAACCGAAAUUAAUCCGAUUUUGACUCUAUUUUAGCCUAAUUUUGACCCAAACAAAAUGUAAAUAAAUUAUCUUAUUAAGAAGUAAAAUUAUUUUUAUUAAUUUUUAUUUGUGAUAAACAAUUAAAAAUAUUAAAUUAUAACUUAAUUUUAGCAAAAAUUAUUAUGACAAAAUAUACCCCAAAUUAUAUUUUGAGCUACAUUUUGUUAUAAAAUUUUGAUAAUAUACAAACAUAUACAUUUUCCUUUUGGCAAUCAUUUAUAUUUUUUAUAAAUAUAAAGCUAUGUCUUUAUUUUAAACAAAAUAUUCAUUUUCUUGAAAUCAUAAUAUUUGACCUUUGAACUUUAUAUAUGUAAUGAAAUUCAAAAUAUAUGCCAAAUUUAUUUUUAUAUAUAUCCGUAAACACCAUAAUCAAAGUAUAUAUUAUGGUAUUUAUAAAUUCAUUUUUCUUUAUAGAUUCAGUUUUCUUUUUAUAUAUUUCAAGAUGAGUUAUAUAUGUAUAUAUAUAUAUAUAUAUAUUUAUAUAUGAUUAUGGUGUUUUAAAAAAGAAAAUGACCUUUGAAUUAUUAAAUUUAGAGUAUAUACCAUAUACAUUUAUAUAUAUAUAUAUAACACCAUUGUAUUUAUAAAAGGAAUUUAUUGUCUAUUUUGUUAUAUUGUUUUGCGGUAUAUUUUGUUUAUUACCAAAAUAUAUACUAAAAUUUUAUUAUAUAAUUUUGUGUGGUAUUUUUUUAUUUUUUUAUUUUGGUAAAAUUAAUUUAUUUUUUUUAAGUUUUUAUCAAAAAUAAAUAAAAAGUAUUUUUCUUCUAGAGAAUAUAUUUUUUGAGUCUAAAUUGGGUUAAAAUAGAGUCGAAAUCGAAUAAGUUCGGUUAAAUUUUGGUUAAGUCAAACCGGAUAUAUAAUUUUUGGUUAACUGGUCGGUUCAAUUGGAGGUGUAGUUUUAAAAACAAAUCUGAAAGUACAUGUAGUUUUAUCGAGAUUAAAAUUGUUUAUGGUGGUUUUUCAAGUGGCUAAAAGUUUAGGGUGGAAAGUUGAGACUGUCACCUAAAGUUCAUGAAACUGUCAAAUCCUUACUUGCCGGAUUUAGUAGACCGAAAAUACUCUAAGCCAAGUUACUUCAUCGAAGAUAAAAGACCCGUAGUGUGCUCUUGCGAUGAAACUGGUCGGGCUUGGAUCUAUGUUUUCAGGGAAAAUAAGCUGACCAGUAAAACUUAGAUAGAUAAUGUGGUUGAUCCUUGACCUUCGCAUUCUACAUUUAUUCCCAAUUUGGUACAUGUUCCUCAAGGUUAAAGAGAAGAACUAGCAGAGUUAAAACUUUAAUUUUCUUACAUUUGGGCUUCUUGUUUAGUUGUUGAGGGAGCUAAGUUUGAUUUGGAUUUUGCAUUUUGGUGCUUUAUUCACAAACUAUCCUCUUUGUUGGAACUAGAGAUUGUUUUUGGUAAUUUUUGUUUUUUUUGCAACAUAAAUUAUUUAUUGUUUCUAGAACAAACUAGAGAGAAUUGCAUUCACUCUCGUGGUCUUGGCUUUGUUCCGAUAAUAAAAAUAUGUUAGACUUCACUUGUUGUUGGGUCAAAUAUGACUAAGCUUUGGUGAUAGUUUUAAUUUACCUAGCUUGUGUACAGAAUUUAAAUACAUGAUGGUAUGAAGAUCAAUAAGUAGCAAUAAAUGGAAAUUUUCUCUUUUUCCUAGUGAAUAAAUGUAAGAGUUCCAUAUUUUAUACUAGUUAAUACUUACUAAAAUGUAAAAUUUACAAAUUUCACGGAUGUUUUAUAUGUAUGUAAAUUUUUGUGUUGAUAAAUGACGAUAUACUAUAUAUAAAUAUAUGCCCAAUGGUUGACCAAGGGUUUAUUAAUGCUUCUACACCAAGAGGUCGGGGUUCGAGUCUCAGCUACUGCGAUUUAUUAGCAGAUUUGCAGAUUAAUGGAGGCAAGUGUGCAAAAGAUCUACAACGAUGUACAAUUAUAGCCGUUCACCUAGGAUUCUACGCAGAGAAGAUAUUGAAGGUGUCCAUCAAGCGCAUGGAGAAGGAGAAUGAUGUGUCGUCUGCCAUAGAUCUAAUAAGGGUCGGAAGGAAUUAUCCGUGGUAGAAUCGUCUAUGUAACAAUUCUCAUAAUUUGUAAUAAAUAAUAAAUCUAGACGGUAAAAAAAACCAGAAAAAAAAGACGGGAGAAAGAAAACAUUUGUCUGUGUGCAAUAUGAAAUGUAUUUGAACAUUUCCCUCUUUUAACUUGGUAUAUACAUAUUGAAAACUCGGUACUCUUGUAGCCUUGCCAUUUUCAAAUAUAAUAGUUGCUUCUGACUCAGAAGUUCUGAGUAAUCUGGACAAGUAGGGAAGAAGAAACAAGCAGAAGUUACCAUGCCAUGGAGAGGAAUUGAGCUUCAAAAGGUUAACCAAGAGCCAUGAACGAUUAAGUGUUUUAUUGUAAAAAGAUGAAAAAUUAGUUCUUAUCUUUAAAACAUGCAAAAUUUAGCUUGUCAUUCCAUUGUAUUCCUCCAAACACAAUUACAUAGCCUUUAGACGAUCAAUUAGAGCCUUGUGCAUCAUAUGGUCCUCAUUAGGAACAACAUAAAAAAACUAAACUAAAUAAUUAAAUCGAACCAAAAUUCAUCAAUUUAAAACUGAAUUGAGUAAACUGGUUUAAGAAAAACGGCAUUUUUGAUUGAUCAAGAGAGUUGAUUUAGGAUUUAGACUACAUGAUCUCGAUGUAAAGGGUGCAAACUAAACAAAAUGAUGUCAGAAUCUAGCAAAAUUUUACAUGGUGAUUUGUGGCAAAAAUCUCGCGAAUUAGUUAAAUAUUUAAAUCGUAACAGAGAAAUCUUCCUAACAAAUUGAUUAAUAUUUUUGUCUAGUUGAAUAACCUCCAAAAGGAAAAAUACCGUUUGAGAUAGUUUAAUUUAGUUUCAACGAAUACAUAUUAGAUCUUAGACAAAACGAUCUACCGGAUCAGGUAAUUUAAGUUGGUUAAAAUUGUCCAAAAAUUCUCUAAUGCCAGACUUGAUCUAGUCCCAAUUAGUAAGAAAAUGAGUACUGAAUAUAAAAAAACAAAAACCUCAUCUGGUGAUAGAAAUCGAGUGUAACAUCAUAUUUUUUCUUACCCAUUUCAUCAAAAUUCCACAUAAAACAGGUUUGCCAUUUACUUAUUACACCAAAACAAAAAACUGGUUGAGAGUAGAAACAAACUUGACUUGGGACGAAAAUACUCUUAAAAGUCAAAACACAAAGAUUCGAAACCAAAACAAACCAAACCAAACCAAACUGAUAAAAUCCUAACUAAAAAAAAGCAUUUACUAAACAUUUUAAAAUAAAUAAAAUUUCCCGGAACUAAAAAUGGAGGGAAAUACGACGUUACAAUACCAACAACAAUAAAAUGACGAAUUUACCCCUAAACACAAUUAUAUCUCCAUUAUUUUCUCGAUUCGCGCAUGUUUCUCUCAAGUAAAUAAAAUAAAAAUCCCAACAACAAAACAUUAAAAACCCUUUCUCUCUUCCCACUUUCACAUCCAUAGCUAAACCCUUGAAGAAGAUUGUUUAGUGUGUUCUCGUCUCUUCGUUUAUUUCUUCUCCACCGAUCCAACAAUGCUACUCUCCGGUCAAUCUCCGACUCUGAUUCGUUAAUCUCCCUCCGUCUCUCUCGUCUGAUUCCUUCCGUAUCUCUCUCUGAUUUUGGCCAGAGCACGCUUGAUAAUCAAAAUUUCUCCGGUACGGUUAUGUAAUCCGUUUCCUGAUUAGGGUUUUGAAUUUCGUCUUCGUAUUGUUUCUCGAUCUGUUAUGAUCGUACGUUUUUCGUUUAUUGUUCGUCAGUUAUUUUUUAAUUUUGAUUUUGAUUCGUUGUGAAAUUUUGACUGUAGGGGUCUUUAUAUGACUGAGAUUUGAGAACAUUGUGUAGAAAAGUAAAGAAAUGUUAGAAACUAACGAGCAAAAGGGUUUUGAUUUAAACGUGUGUGCUUCAAUUGAAGAUUUCAGUGAGUCUGACAUUAAGGCUGAGGGUGAAACUGAUAGUUUGGUUGAUGGUAAUGUGGAGAAUGUGAUUGAGAUUAAGGAUAAGAAAAAAGUGAUUGAGCGUGAGAUUCUCAUUACGCGUAGGGUUCUUCGCUCAGGCUCUGUGGCAAGGGAUUUAGUAAACAGUGAUAAACAUUGUAAGGCUGUGAAAAGGAAAGGAAAUGUUGUUAGUGGUGGAAGUUCUGUUGAUGAGGUGAAAGAAGAAGUGAAACAGGAGUGUGUUAAGUCUUUGGUACCUGAGGAGAUUCGUGGAGAUGAUUUUCGAAGUGAAGUGAAAGUGGAAUCUAAGGAUGAUAGAUCAGAUGAUGGAAAAGAAGAGAAAGUUCAACGUAAAAGAGGAAGGCCUCGAAAGUUUGGGAUGAGCAGUCAAUCUGAUGAUAAUGGGUUAAUCUCAAAUUGUAAACUUCGGACAUCUUUAGGUAAGAAGAAAGAACUGGUAGGCGAUGAUAAUGUUGAGAAACUUGUUGGUGGAAGCUGCUUUAACAAGGAGAAAGCAGAAGUAAAACUUGAGCAUGGGGAAUAUGCUGAAGAUAAAGAGAUUCUUGGACUUGAUUUUAGGAGUCAGGUUAAGGUUGAAAUCAAGGAUGAUGAAUGUGGGAUUGUUGAGCUACAUGAUGAAGAGUUGCAAGUUAAACGUAAACGGGGAAGGCCUAGAAAGGUGCAGAUCAGCAGUCAAUCUGAUGAGAGUCGCCCUAACACAAACUGUAAACUUGCGAGAACUCCAGAACUAAGUAGCCAGUCGAGUGUUGACAGAAUUAGUUUGAGUCGUCUGCGUGGUAGACCCCCAAAGACCAAGGAGACCUCGGUUAGCCUUUACAUUGAAAAAGGACCUGAGUCUAAUGGAAGGAGGAUGGUACGUAAGCGUGGAAGACCUCCAACACCACAGAAAAAGAGGAAAUCGGGGAUGACAGAUGAAUCAGAUUGGAAAGCAAAGAAGAGACUGAAACUUUGUGAGAGUCCGUUAGAGUCACGGCACAACAAUCCUUUAAUUGAUGACGAAAGGAUGAUUGGCGAACAACGGAGUAAGCAAACUGAAGCUGGAGGACAUUCGAGAUCAAAGUCUAAGAAAAUGCUGAGUGACAGAAUACUGCAGUUACUUCUAACUGCUGGUUGGACUGUUGAAUAUAGGCCUCGAAAUGGGAGAGCUUAUCAAGAUGCUGUGUAUCUUAAUCCAGAGGGAAAGACUCACUGGUCAGUGACUAAGGCUUAUCAAGUUUAUAAAAAACAAUUGGAAAGCAACCCGAAUGAUCAAAAGAACUCUACCACUGGUUCUGGUUUUGGCUUGCUACCAGAAGAAGACCUUCAUCUAUUAGAGAGAACAAUUCAGAAAAAAAGGAGCGAUACAGGUAAGCAAAGGUCAAAAUUGAAGGACAGAGAUACUAAUGACAUCUUGGUUUCAACAAAGGGAACAGGAAAAAUAAAGAGGGAAGAAAAACAUAGUAGAAAGCGUUGUACUCCGUCAGCUCGUAGUUCUUUGAAAGAUGUGGAUUCCAAGGAGGAUGGGUACAUAUUAUUUGAAGGGAAACGCACCAUGCUGGGUUGGAUGAUUGAUUCAACCAUUGUGCCACUUAACGGAAAAGUUCAGUGCAUGGACUGCAAGAAGACAGACAUACUUCUAGAAGGAAUUAUCACAAAAGAGGGUAUUCGAUGCAACUGCUGUGAUGAAGUGUUCUCUGUUCUCGAUUUCGAGGUUCAUGCUGGCGGGAAUCGCAACCAGCCAUUCAAAAGUCUGUAUUUAGAGGGUGGGAAUUCUCUCUUGCAGUGCCUCCAUGAGUCUAUGAAUAAACAAAGUGAAUCACAACUUAAAGGGUACCAUUUUGUGGACUUUGGUUCGGGGGAUCCAAAUGAUGACACAUGUGGUAUUUGUGGGGAUGGGGGAGAUCUUAUCUGCUGUGAUGGGUGCCCAUCAACAUUCCAUCAGAGCUGCUUGGACAUAAAAGUAAGUUGCUCCUUACGUUGUGAAAAUUUUAUGUUAAAGUGGGCUUUUCUGUUUCUUCUAGACUUAAUUUCUCUUCAAUCUGCAGAAAUUCCCUUCUGGUGCCUGGUAUUGUUACAACUGCUCAUGCAAAUUUUGCGAGAAAGAUGAGGCUGCUAAACAUGAGACUUCAACUCUACCCUCCUUAUCGAGUUGCCGCCUAUGUGAAGAGAAAUGUAUGAACUAUACACUAAAGCCAUCUUAUCUGUAAUUGCAUUUAUAUGUAUAUGCUCUGUUAAACUUCUUCAAACGGACUUCUAGGCUCUAAGCAUUACCCUCACACUCUUGCAGAUCACCAAGCAUGCAUCAACCAAGAUGGCACGGUGCCUGGUGAAAGGAGUACUGAUUCAUUUUGUGGAAAGUAUUGUCAAGAGGUAGCCUUCCUUUUUCUUUUUUACCUUUUAUCCUGGCGCUUUAUUACUUGAAACGCUGAGUAUUUCAUUUGUUUCUUCCCUUCUUUUUCUUUAAUUUAUAGUUAUUCGAGGAACUUCAGUUAUUCAUUGGAGUAAAACACCCACUGCCUGAGGGAUUUUCAUGGUCAUUCCUUCGCCGCUUUGAGCUCCCUAGUGAGGUUGCCGAUUGUGACAUAUCUGAGAAGAUUGCAUAUAAUGCCAAAAUGGCUGUUGCAUUUUCUGUUAUGGAUGAGUGCUUUUCACCUUUGGUUGAUCACAGGAGUGGAGUCAACCUGCUUCAAAACAUUGUUUAUAAUUUUGGGUAAGCUCAUUCCCAAAACCUGUCCUUAUAUGCUUCUGUUUUGUUCAAUUGGUUUAUUGGCAAGUGUUUUAUGGAUAUGUAAACAGUCCGUAUGUUACUACUUACUAGAUUAUGUUUAAACUUUUUCCUAUUUUUUUGUAGGUCGAACUUCCAUCGGCUAGAUUUCAGCAGUUUUCUCACUGCUGUUUUGGAGAGGGGUGAUGAAAUCAUUGCUGUGGCGUCUAUUAGGUAUGCCUUUGGUACCAUGAAAAUGAGAACAAGGGGUAAUAAGUUUCUAGACUUAUCAUACUAGACUUAAAAGCAUUACUUAGAUGUGACAUUACACUGUUCGUAUCAUACUAGUGGACUAGUGGGGCAAACAAGAUUAGAAAACCACUUUGUACCCCUUUCAUUAUACUAUUUCUUUUGUUAAGGUACAGAGAUCUUAAGUUUGAUAGAACACACUACAUUUAGAUGUUAGCAGUUUAUGUCGUACUAAGAUAAAGAAAUUCCCUAAGUAUAUGCCUCUACAUGGUCUCAGGUGUUUGAUUGAAACUCUGUUGCCGGGUUCUCGAUAAAUUGAGAAUACUAACUGUGUAUAGAAAUUAGCUUUUCUUCCCAUAGGACUGAUAUAUCUCUUACUCAGGAUACACGGCAAUCAACUGGCAGAAAUGCCGUUUAUCGGAACCCGCUAUAUGUACAGGCGUCAAGGGAUGUGUCGUCGACUAAUGGAUGGCAUUGAAUCUGUAGGCCCUCCUCCACUUCUUGUCAUAUCCUAAAUUCCUUUUUCUGUUAGUUUGGUGGUUAUUUACAUUAAAGUUCGUCGCUUAUUUCUCUCAAAUGUUUCUUGCUAUAUCUGAAGUUUUAUUAGAUGUCUGGCAAUUCUGCUGCUAUCCUGCUUGUUUUGGCGACGGGCCAUUCUGCUUUUUCUCAGGUUCUUUCAGGCAUUAAGAAAGAAAUAUGGAAAUAGCUUUGCAUUUCCAUGUCUGAUAUAUGCUAAAUGACAAAAUGAUUGCUAGAUCACACUGAACUAAAAACAUGGAUUUGUGUAGUCAUUUGAUUUCAAAUAUGUAUAAGUGACUUUAUAGGAUAGUUGAUGCGAACUAGUCAAGCUUCUUAGUAUGCCAUAUGUCUUGAUCUGCUGUGUACUAUCUCAGUCUUCUGUUUUGUUUAGUUUAGACUUCAUUCUGUGUACGAUUUCUGAAGAUCCAUAUUACAAAUGUGCUUUAUCAUCAGGCGCUUGGUUCUCUCAAAGUAGACAAGUUAGUCAUACCAGCAGUGCCAGAACUGAUUGAUACAUGGACUUCAGGCUUUGGCUUCGCACCUGUCAAUGAUUCUGAGAAAAAAACAAUUAAGAAUCUGAACUUGUUGGUGUUCCCUGGCGUAGACAUGUUGGGGAAAUCAUUGGUGAAGGAGAAGAUCACUGACUCAGUUGUUUCAUCUCCCAAUGGUACUAACUCAGUUUCUCUUGGCAUCUGAACUUUUUAAAAUGUUCAUGUUAUGUGUACAUGCAUACUUGCAUCUAUUGACUGACUUAAAUCUACUCCAGGUUUAGUGCUGUUGGCACCUGAGAUGACUUUGCCUGUAGAUGUCGAGGAAAAUAAACCUGAGGAGUCUAAAGACAGUGCACACGAGCGAAAUUGUGCAACUGCUGGUGUUGAAUCCCCUUCUAACCCAGUUGAUAGCUGCUUGAAGUUAACUUAUGUAGAAGAGGGGGAUAAUGACAGAGAAUCCAAUCUCAAGUUACUUGACGGGUCCGUGGAAGAGAAAGAAGACACUAAGAAAUUGACAGAUAUAGACAUCAAUUCUCUUCCUGAUGAAGUUGAUGAUUCCCAUGCGGAUCAAAGUGAUACAAAAGAGCAGGAAAUUGAUGAUAAAGAAGAUAAGACACCGUUAUCUGAUGAUGGCUGUGAAGGUAAAGCUGAGGGUACCAAGGAGUCAAAUCAACAACCGGAUAGUAACAAAGUAGAUAACUCUCAGCCACUUGGUAAUGGUGGUACAGGGGAAGAGCUUGGCAACAGAACCUUAGCGCUAAAGAGAGAAGUGACUCCCACAUUGCGAGCAUCGCCCCGACUGAUUCAAAGAUCGUGGAGAACAUCACGGGUGAACCAGAAGUUCACAGGUACUACUAACGCCGUACUGCUUGACUCUCCACACCGGUGUGUCUGAGGCUCAUUGCAUAGACAGAGCUUUUGUGGUUUUGUGCAUAUGACCAGUCUAACACAUUUUGUCUAAAGAUGGAGCAGCCCUUUGCUAUUUCGGGGUGACAACCGGAAAGGCGCAGUUGAAAGAAAAAGUAGUUAGAAUUCUAAUUUCAGUACUUUAGUAAUUUCAUUAGUAACACAUCGAGCCAGAGGUCAGAAACCUUGCAGUGGCUCAAUGCUUAUUAGACUUAAUUGUGUAGUAAACAAUUUCUUUCAGCUGUAUUUGAGCUGCUUCAUAAUAUCAUCUAAUGUUAAAACAUCUUCUGGCUUAAUAUUCAAUUAACUUAUUAUUAGAUACCAUAAAACCAACAAUUAGCAAACGAAGAUAACUUUAAUAGUUUAAUCACCGCAUUUAAUACCUCCAGGACCACCAUAAGACAUAGCAAUACCAACCUGAUGAUCAACAUAUCCUACUAAAUUAACAUCAUAGCAUACGUUGCUGUCCACCAAAGGCUCUGUCAUAGGGUAAUUAAAUCCGGCAUGUUCAUAGUCCGGUUGGAUUAUGGUAAGAUGGUCAAGAUAACCAGACCAUAGACGGUCAUCUUUGUUUGGAAGACGACCAUUACCCAUCGGUGGGCUUGGAGUUCUUGGAUCACCUGAAACCAUUCCUCCAAAUCCAACGAAAUCAGCACCAUCUCCUAGAAGAUUAAACAACUCCUUUGGCCAAUAUCCCAAAUGAUUUUUAGUAUCAUCAUCUGGAUUUGUUUGUGUAAGCCACCAGUUUUUUGUUUCCUUGUCCUUUUACAUGAAUUAGCAGUUGCAAAAAUAAUUACAAAGUAUUCGUCUAAUAGUAUUGUCAAGCAUAAUUCAUUGUUUUCAAUUGUUGAUUCCAAAUUAUGCUCUUAGUCUAUGCUCUAUCUUCAUAUGUAUAAGAAAAAAACUUAUGAUUUGGUAUAAGAAAUUCUGUACCUGAUGUAUAGUAAGCCAGAGAAGAUAAUCAAACUUGAGAGGUACACUUAUUGGACCAUUUUUGGCUACUUGAACAAAUCCUGGACAUUUUACAUUAAAACAGCCUGUUCCAUGUUUCCCCUAAAAUUAUAUAACAUGAAAACAUCAAAAUUACAUAAGAUAUGCACUUGAUUAGGAGAAAUAAUUCAUAAAAAUAAAUCAUAACUGGUUUUACCAGCCAUGUCCCAUACGACCAUGGUCGUUUGUCGCCAAAUAGUUGUUCAUUGAUCUGUAAAUGAUAGUAAGAAAUUUAUGAUUUACCACAAAGAUUUAAUUAGGAAAACAAUAUAGAAGAUGAAAAUAUGUAUUACCAUCCAUCCAACUUGAAUAGAAUUGGCAUCACCACUGAAUGCUCUGGCUACAUAAGCUUGAGCACUUGUACUUUGAUUUUUAUCAAUUAUCAAGUUAUAAGUCCUUAGCCCUGCUUCUACGCCUCUGUAAUUAUGUUUUUCUACUACUUUCAUUCCCGCAAUCUGUAAAUGUGUCAAUUCAAGUUCAACUAACAUAUAUGCAAAUUACUUUUUACAUGUGUAAAUGUUUUUGCUCUGUCUUAAUAUAUAAAUUUCAAUGCAUUUUGCUAAUAUUCAACCAUGUGAAAAUUUUCUUAUGAUAGGUGUUUCAUAUUUAACAUAUACGAUUUCAUUUAAUGCUGAAUUUAAUAAAUUUUUGUAGUUAUCUAUGUUCAUUCUUACCAUUUUAAAAAUAAUGAGCAAAUUUUGAGAGUUAACGAAUCAGUUUAAGUUUUGAAACAGAAAAUUUACAAUUUAAACUUUUUAAAGUAUGAAAGAGAUUUUUAAAAUUAAUAAUAUAUAUUGUAUUUUAUUUUUGGGUUUUUGCAAAUCAUACAAAUGCCAAAGUAUGCAAGAGAUUUUCAAAAUUAAUAAUUUCUAUUUUAUUUAAUGUAAUAUUAAUAUAUCACAAUGAAAAAUAUAGAAUAGUAUACUUACAUGGGUACCCGGAUAUUUAGCUGUAAGAACGGUAAAAUUAUUGAUGGGGUAUUCUUGAUAUUGUAUGACAUGUUUUUCCUUGGCUCUUAAAAUAGGAACGGUUCCAUUUGGACAUUCUAUUUUAUUGUUGUGUCUUCUUUCUGCAAAUUUAUUCUCUGAUUGAGAAUCCCAUCCUGUUGGUUUCAUCUAAUAGGAAAAUUAAAAAAAAAAAAAAAAACACAUGUAAGUGUUAAAGUAUAAUGUUCACUUAACAUACUAUCUUAAUUGACGUACGGUAUAUGAUGCCAGUUUUUAUUUCUGGAUAUGUUUAUCUAUUGAAAUAUAGAAUGGUUAACAAGAAUAAUGAACAUUUUGACCGACUCUUAAAAAAAUCAAAACAUGUCUUAGAGAUUUGUUGAAAAAGACUUUCCAACAAACACAACGAUCGCAAAAGACUUCCCAAUAAUAAAGGAAGACAAAAUUCCAUAUAGAUAUAUUUCAUGUCUUUUAAUCAAAAAAUAGAUUAAAGAAAAAUGCAAAACAAGAUACCCGAAUAUUAUGAUGUUUGAGCAAUGGAUGACUAAGAGAUGGUUGCUUAUAAAUAUCCAUGCAGUCGUAAAUAACAUUUUUACCCAACUACAAGAUGAAAAAAAAUCACAUAAAGUAAAAAUAACAACACUAAAGAAGAUCACAGUAUUGUAUUUAUGUAUUUCACUUUACCUUGAUGGAUUUCAUAUGUAUAGUAGAUUCAACAGAUAACACUGAAAGGAUAAACACAACAAAACUCACAAAGAUAUCCAUUGAAUCACAAUGUAAUAUCUUCCAAUUUGUUUAAAUUUUUUAAUGUUUCAUCAGUAGUGAUAUUAUGUUACGAUAUAAAUAAAGAUGUAAAAUGUUGAAUGCAUUAAAAUGCAAUUAAUGUUUAUAUAAUUAAUUAUAAAGCUUUUAUCUUUCAACCUAUUAUUAAUGAAUAUCUGGGAGUAUUUAAGAGAUUUCUCUUGCCAUUUGGCAAUAGUUCUUUUUUUAUCAAUAUAAAAGUCAUGAGGCAAAAUCUUAGCUUAGUAGAUGCAAGCAAAAAAUCAUAAAUAUAAAGUUACCCUUAAAUGUAUCAUAAUUUUAUGCAUCCAAAAAUUAAUAGUAUCUCAUACCAAUAAUAAUGUGCCACAAUAACUAACUUUAUUUUGAAAUAGCCAAAAUAACUUUGCUUUAGAAAACUGAAAUAAUUAAAAAAAAAACAAAGAAUGUUAUGAAUAAUAGAUGGAUGCCCAUUAUAAGGCUCAUCAUCUAGAUGUCUCUAGGGUUUUACCCUUCUCUUGUACUCCUAUAUAAAGGAUGCUUUAUUCAAUGGAAUAACACACUCAUUUCUUUUAUCUCUUUCUCUGGUUAUAACACGUUAUCAGCACGAGUCCUACCUAGCUGAGUAAACCCUAGCCACCUAAGAAAACGAAAAAAAAAAAAAAAAAAACUAGCCGCCUAAACAAACAAAAUCUUAAGCUAACAAGAUAAGUUUUCUGUUCAUAUUUGUUUAUGCACGAAUUAUGCACAAAUUAUCUAUCAUUAGAUCUGUCUGUAUUUUUACACAAAUUAUGAACUAAUUAUCUAUUAUCAGAUCUGUUUGUAUCUCUAUACGAAUUAUACACUUAUUAUCUAUUAUCAAUUCUGUUUGUAUUUUUGUACGAUUUAUGCACGGAUUAUAUGUUAUUGAUUCUGAACUGUUUUAUGCAUUAUAUCGCAGAAACCCUAUUUUUGCACGAAUGAUCAGCAUCUGGAUUUUUGCACGAAAGAUAAGUUCUCUUCCAUACUUUUAUAAAGAUAAAGAUCUAAUGUUUCUUUGAAAAUUAAACUUUCAUAGUUGAUGCACUAUUAGUUUUACGUUAAUAGAGUUGACCAUGAAUAUUGUUUACCCUAAAUUUGCACGAAAAAAUUAUUUAAAAGAUCUGUAUUAAUUUUUUUUUAAUUUUUUUUUGAGUUUAAAAGAAAAAGAAAAAAGACUGUUCAUUGUUUUGCCCUAAUUUUGCACGAAAUUAUUUUACCCAAAUUUUACACAAAUUCAUAUUAUCCUAAAUAAAAGUUUUGUCAAGAUAUAUGUAAAAUCCAGAUUUUGCACAAAAUAGUUUUAUUCUGAUUGGUUUUACAAUAUUGCAUUAAAAUUGUAUUUGUAUAUAAUACUUGAUUAUUUUUAUGAAAUAAAUUGAUUGAUAAAUAACUUAAUUUAAAGGUAUAAUCACUUAUAGAAAUUUUUCAUGAAUGAAUAGUUUAAUGUAUCUUAAGAAGACAUCAUAAUUUUGAUGUUCAAAGUUUUUUCAAGAACUUAAAUUAUCACCAAAAAUUGAGAAAAUAAAUAUGGUAAAAAAAUAAGUAAAAUUUCUAACUUUUAACGAUGAAAUAAUCUAGUAUAUCAAGUAGUUUAAAAUCUUAUUAAAAGACUCUAGAAGAGCAUAUACAUUGUUUUCUAUGGGAAUACAAAAUUAAAAUCAUCGAUGCGGUAUAGUUCUCCAAAUCUCAAAGUUAAUAUGAUGAGAUAUAAAUACAUUAUGAUUCUAGAGUGGAAUUCAAUACGAGAUGGAUGAACUUGAAGUUUCAUCAUCUCGAGGAGGAGAAGUAAUGAAUGGAUAAUAAGUGACAUAUCCAGAAGAUUAUGUUCAAUCUUUGACUACUAAAGAUCUAAAAGUUAUAUAAAGCAAUUCUUAUAUGAAUGUGUUAUUAGAUAAAAUAAGUUAUAAUUAGUUAUUACUAAAACUUCAAGACUUGAAGUCUCUUUUUGAAUAUAACUCACAUUGUUAAGAGAAUAUCUCUGAUGCGGAGAUGGUAAAACAGACGCUUAAACUUUUACGCAAGUAUCGUUGUCCUGUAGACACAAUAUUUUGAAAGAAAUUUAAGAACUAUUAUGAACUUAAAUCGAGUGUUUUUCAAAGGCUAAGAAAAUAUAUGAGUUAUUGAUGAUAAGUAAUACUCAUAUUCUGAAGUGAAUAUAAGAUCUUACAUAGCUAGUCAAAUUAAAUUUAAUAUCGUUUAUAUUAGAAUAUAAAAUUUCAAUUAUUGUCUCGUUUAUUGCUAUAUUAACAUAUGAUUGAUUAUUAAAAUACAUGGAAGUAAUUUUGAUUAUAAGAUCCCAUUAAGGGAGUAACUCAUAAGCAAUGAAAAGUAAAUCAGAAGUUUUCAAAAAAAAAAACAAACUAGAAACUAGAAGUUUCAAGAGUAUAUUUGGCUUAACCGGAUUGGUCAUCCUGGUUUAAUGAUGAUGCGAAAGUAUUGAGAAUUAUGUGGACAUUAGGUGAAAAAACAGAAGAUUCUCCCUAAUGAUUUAUCAAUUGUUACUUGCUCAGAAAGCAAUAUGAUAAUGUGAUUUUUACCAGUCAAAAUAAUUUGGACUUUAUCUAUUCGUAAGUAUAUACAAGGAGAUGAUUAUGGGUUGAUCACCCACUGUACGACAUUUAGAUACCUAAUGGCUAUAAAAGAUGCAUCAAUUCAAUAGACGCAUUGACUCGAUUGUUGCAUCGACUAGAAGGUCAUAUUUAUCCUUGUUAUAAACCCGCAACAUAGAGUUUGCGAGGUUACUUUCUUGAUUAAAGUACAAGAGUAUUUCAGUGUUUAUUUAUUAUAACCAUUAUUGGAUAUCCGUUGGGAUAAGUGUUUAACAUUUUGAAAUUCAUGUUCAUACACAAAAUGGUUUAGUAAUAUCGAUACGCAUCAAGCCAAUGAAUAAUUAAUAGUUUUUCCCAUAAUUAUUGGUUUUGGGUAAGAAACCAAAUAGUUUUCAUCUAAAAUCUUUGAAUGUGAAAAGUGUUCCACCACAGCACGCUGAGAUAAACCCUCAAAGGAGGAUAAGGAUACAUGUUGGAUAUGAAUGAUAACUAAGCCAUCCUAGAAGGAUUUAUAUACCGCUCGUUUUGAAGAGUAUAUAGUCAGCUAUUCCAACAUAAGGGGGACAAUGUAUACAGCUGGUGAAAAAAAAAAGAUAAAAAGAAAUGAAUUAUCAAUGAUCCUCGGAGUAAAUAAUGUAUAUUAAGAGUCUAAAAGAUAAUUCAAUUACAGAAUUUAGCGUUGUAAUUGCCAGACGCAUUUGCUGACCCAAAUAAAGUGAUGAAGUCACCUAUACCAGUUGUAAAUUAAAUGCUCCAGAAUAUAAUGAAUGUCCUGUAAAGACCAAUUUCAAACUGCUAUUGAGUCUUAAGAUCGCAUGAAGCGUAACAGACCUUGGUUCCAAAUAUAAAUAUCCUCGUAAAAGUGAAGGAGCACAAAAUUAAAAAUGACCAAAUUGAGGAAAUAAAUAUUUUGAUGAUCUCUUGAAGAGAGUGAAUGAUCUCUAAAAGAGACAUAAACAUGACAAAUGAAACAUUCAAGUACUUGACAAUGAAGAGAUCUAGCUAGCUAUGUCAUGUCAAAAUAUAAUGGAAUCAAAAGCAAAUCGACGUCGUAAUAUAUUUGCAUGCUAUGAGUAGUUGAUAUUAUAGACAAAAAGGAGGAUCAUGAAAGAAAGUCUAUUGAAAAGUGUACACAAAGUAGUGAUUAGCCAAAAAUGGAAAAGAAGAAAUAGACAUAUAAUUAUAAUCUCUAGUAGAGAUAUUUGGACUAGUAGUCUAUGCACAUGAUGUGUAAAACCAGUGGAAGAUAAAUGAGUCUUUAUGUGAAAGAAUAGUGAAAUUAAUGAGAUUUUCAGAAAGAUACGAAAUGUAUUAUGAAGAGAUAUAUUCUCUUGUGGUGGAUGUAAUAUUUUUAAGUAUCUAAAGUCUGGCAAUAAGACACGGAACACUGGAUAUCACAUUUAUAUGAAAUUCUUGAAAGAUAUAAUCUCUGAAGGAUUAAUUAUAUGAGAAUUAUGUUCUCUAGAACUCUACUCGAUCGAAUAAAAAGAAAUAUGUAACAUGACAUAUAAUCCUAUAAAUGUCUAUUUAUGUUGAGUUUGUCAAAAUAUAUUGAUCAAACUAAUAUUUGUUUUGAAAAUCAUUAAAACUCCUAGAGAGUUAUCAUAAGUAAUACGAUGACAAUAAUCUAUGAUAAAAUAUCACUAGAUAAUGAUAUUUAUAAGUCUAUAUGAAAACCAUAUAAUUUUGAUCAUUAAGAUUAUGGUUAUUAAUUCCAACGAGAUAUUGUAUUUGAUUGAAAAUCAUCUCUUGAAGAAGAUGUUUCUGAGGGGGAGAUUGAAUGAUAUGCGUGGAUGUACCCUUUUUCCUUAUCAUAGUUUUUAUCCCACAUGAUUUUUCUAUGACAAGGUUUUUAACGAGACAUUAAAGAACACGCAAAUAAUACACUUGAUGAAUAUUAGGAAAUUCUAUCAAUCAUCCAAAUGAAUAUUAUACACUAAUGAUAUUUAGAGAAAUAAAUUAGAUGGUCAAGAUGAAUAAUCUAAAAGAUUCAUGAGCAGCAGAAGAAUGGCGUUGUACUUUAUCCAGAAAUUUGUUCAAGAGAAGAUUUGGCAGACUUAUUCUCAAAUACUGUUUAUUCUCUGCCACAUCUUCUAAUCAUGCAGAGAUUUUAUCAAUUCAUGAAGCUAGCCGCGAAUGUGUAUAGCUAAGAUCCAUAGUUCACCAUAUACAAGAAGACUGUGGUAUGUAUGCAGGGAAAAAGACUCCAACAAUUAUGUACGAAGAUAAUGCAUCAUGCAUCGCACAACUCAAAGACGGAUACAUCAAAGGUGAUAGAACAAAGCACAUCCUACCAAAAUUCUUCUUCACACACGAUCUACAAAAGAGCGGCGAUGUACAAGUUCUACAGAUCCGUUCGAAUGAUAAUCUGGCUGACUUAUUCACCAAAGCGCUACCUACUGCUACUUAUUCAUCGUAUCGGAUUACGCCGUCUCAAAGAUCUCGAUGAAUAUACUCAUAAGGGGGAGUAAUUGUGUGUUGCACUCUUUUUCCCUUAACCAUAUGGUUUUUCCCAUUGGGUUUUCCUGUUAAGGUUUUUAAUGAGGCAACAUUUUAAAUACUUUACGAGUUAUGAUACUAUAAUGGUCAUCAAGGGGGAGUGUUAUGAAUAAUAGAUGGAUGCCCAUUAUAAGGCCAAUCAUCUAGAUGUCUCUAGGGUUUUACCCUUCUCUUGUACUCCUAUAUAAAUGAUGUUUUAUUCAAUGGAAUAACACACUCAUUUCUUCUAUCUCUUUCUCUUGUUAUAACAAAAAAAAAGUUAUCUAUAUAUUUUUUAAAAAUGGGUAAACAAACUUAUUUUACAAUCAUUCAAGUAAAAAAAUUUGGGAUUUAUUUCGUUUUUUUUUUAGAUUGAUUAUGAUCUCUAGGGAAUUAAGCUAUGCAAAUUUGUAAGUUUUAUUAAGAAUAUUACUUUUCUUGUGGAUUUAUUCGUUUAAACAUCAAAGAAGAAUGAAAUCAUACCCUCAAAUUACAAGUUUCAAAGUUUGUGGAGAUUUAUGUAACUUAUCCAAUAAUGUUUGUUUUCAAUUUUUGAAGAAAAAGUUCAAAAUGAAAAUUUCCUACGGGCUUGACACACAUAAACCACAGACUCGCCAAAUUUCUAGUAGACUUCACAUAUAUGCGGAGUAACUUAAAAACUUUCUAGAAACAUGAGGAGGUCAAGAAGAUUAUCGUAAGCCGGGAGGAAGAGUGACGAGAGUAGAAACAAAAGAGCAUUGGUGAAUAUUCUGAAAUUCCUCAAGGAAGUUCAUAUAAAGACAACAUGGAGUCUCUAUGGACUCUUAGAAAAGCUCCUACUAACAAUUAGGAUGUUUCUCCUUUUAAUUUUUUUCGCAACACUCCCUAAAGAGACAGAAACAUAUUAACUAACAUCGAUCUAAGGUUAUGAAACUAAAAGCUAACUUUGAAAAUCCAGAAGCAGCUCUAUCUUUCCAAUUAGGCAGAGUCAAAACCUUUCUAAUGUCUCUCUUUCAUUUCCAAGUUUUACCUUAGAAGUAAAACCACAAGGACGAGCGAGACCGCAAGUGCAGCAGAAGAAAGUCCCCAAACCCAAUAUCGACGAGCCUUUCUACGGUUUAGGAUGGCCUUAGGGAGAGCUUCGGUUCCGCUUCCGCGGUGUUUGUACCUAAAACUUCUCUGCUUUGGAAACAACAAUCUCUCCUUUUGGUGUUUCUCUUUCCCUGAAACUGCUAAUGUCCUAACCUUUUCAUCAUUGAUUACUUGGUCUGAUUCUGAAGGAGAAGUAGAAUUUGCAGCAGCUUUCUUCUUCGCCUUUUUCUCACACUCCUGAAAACCAAACAAAGAAAUAAGAAACAAACUAAUGAUACAUUGAAAAAAUGGGAACAAGAUAAUAUAAUUGCCUUGAGUUUCUUUUCAGCUUCCUUUUGAGCUCUUAUAGCAGCUUUAGCAGCAGCUUUCUCUUGCAGCUUCCUCUUCCUUUCCAUCACUAACCGAGCUUUCUCUAACUGCUCUUCUCUUUUCCUCUCCUUCAAAGCUUCUUCAUCGAUCUCUUCUUCUUUCUUCUUUGGUUUCUCAUACACUAUAACAUCACUCUUCGUUUCUUUCUUUCGUUUAUCUGUAAUUACAUUUCCAUCUUCAGAAGAGUUAGAGCUUGAAUCUUCUCUAUUCAUCUUAUGAACCUUCUCGCUUCGCUUUAUAGUCUUAACCGGCACUUUCUUUUCCCAAAAAAUCUGAAGGUCAGCAUCUUUUAUCCGGCCAUCUUCGUUCAGUUCUCUUUCACAUAGUGAAUGCGAGAUUCUUCUUACGUAAUCUUCCCUAAAAGCCUUAUCAUCAUUCCAAAGAGUCAUGAAUCUAUCAACCUAUAAAAAGACAGAACCAAGAACAAAUGCUCAAAUCUCUCUCUAUCAAUGUUUCGUUUAGACCAAACAAACAAACUAACCUCAGAGCUAGCAAACACUUCAAGCUCUCUAACAUUUCCAGAAGCAGCCAAUUCUUUAGCUUUACACAUAACAGAAAGGCUCUGGAAAAAUGCAGCAUUCUACACAAACACGAGAAGCAUAUACCGAAAUGUUAUUAGAUCUUUAAGAUCACCCACAAGCAAAAAUUAACAGAAAGACAAAUAUCUUACUCCUUUGUCUCGUUGUAUCCUCAACAUCUUAAUCCUUGCAUAAAAUCUAUCCCUCUUCUCAAGUAUGUGUGCCUUUUCCAAAUCCAAAACCCUAAUGUUGUUUUGACUCUUCCACAAUUUGUCACUUAGGUCGUUUAUCUUCCAAGUAAUCGCAUCAAGCUCAUUCUUUACUUCAUUCAAUUCCAAAGCCAUAGACUAAUGAUGAGGCAAAAGAACCAUCACAACAUUAGAUUCAACAAUGUUUUAGCAAAUCACACAAAGAGUUAGAGUUUACCUUGACACGAUUUAUGGAAGCUUCUUUCUCACUUAGAAUGAUCCCAUCAGGCUUCUCAGUCUCCUUAAGCAUCCAAUCUUCUUCCUCCAAACCAAUGCUACCAUAUUCAAUCUGAUACUGAGCUAUAUAACUCUGCAUCCACCACACCAAAACACUUCUACAGUCAAAAACCUAACCGAAUUUUAACGAAUGGUUAGAUAAAACAGUUGUAUUACAAGAUGAUCAAGUUCCUCCUUUGUAAAACAAAGUUGAUCACUAGUAGUGCACCGGAGAUUCCGUAGAGCUUCAAGUAGAGUAUCAAACUCCUUCUUCUUCUCUUCAAUAACCAUUCUAUAUCCUUCAGAUUGAGGAACCAAACUCUCCAUUUGAGUAUACAAAGACGAAACCUCAGCCAGUUCGGAUUUCUUGGCGCUCAAGACAUUGAUUCGGAGUUCAUUACAACGAAAAAUCUCCUGAUUAGCUUCAUCGAUCUUGGCUUUAAUCUCGGGAUUAUCGUAAACAGGUUGCUUAACAAUGUAGAAAGAGAGAGGUUUAUCUCCAGACGAAUCCUCUUCAGCUGCAAGUCCCGAUGAACUAUCACCACCGGAAAAAAUAGUGUCUUCUUCUUCGUCGGUGGUGACCUCGCUAUUUGUCAAAGAUUGGUCGCAUUCGUAAAGAAUUAGAUCGUUUAUCUCGGGCGAAGGAACCACCUCGAAGCCAUCACAGAAUAUAAUCUGCUCAUCCAUUUUGAUUAUUUCCCUUGAGUCAAGAACAAGACAUGUCAAAAUGAAACUGAGGUCAAGACAGAAACUUAAGUCUACUAAAAAGUGCAAAAGAAAUAAACAAGAGAUGUGUUCCCAAUAGGCCAAUAUACUACAAGAAAAUAAAAAAUGGUAGGGAUUUAAUGGAAAAAAAACUGGUGGAGAUUUUUGUAGAAAAAUGGAAAAAAGGUUUUGACCAAAUUUAUACCAAAAUAUCCUUAUAAAAAAGUAUUUUAUACCAAAAGAAGUUUUUGACCAACCUUUUAUUAAAUUAUUUAUAUGUUUAGUAUUUAAUAUUUUAUAUCUAAAAUUAAAUUCGAAAUUUAAUUUAAUUUUCUCUUUUAACAUUUCGAAAUAUUAUUAUUAUUUAUUAAAAAAAUACCAAAUUUUAUUUAUUUAUUAAAAACAAAAAUGAUUUUUAAUUAAAGAAAAAGAAAACGGAGAAACAUUUUGCUCUCCGCCACCACCGUCUCCGGCACCUUCUUCUUUAUCUGCGUUUACUUCUUUGAAGAUUUACCUUUUGAGCAUCGGCGAGUGAUGACGGAGGAAGGUGACGAAAAUGAGAAGAAGGAGAGGAAAAUAAAGAUUUACCUUUGAGAGUGUGUUGAUACCAAGCAAAGAAAAAUCCUUGGCUGUCGAAAGAAACUACUGGUGGCUUGGAGAGAAGAUCUUCAGUACUAAAUGGUGAGAACUAAAAAAUGCAAAUAGGCUGUGAGAGGUUUUGAUGAUGUCGAGGACAUCAAGAGGAAAAAGGAAAUCAAAUUACGAUUUUACACCCUUUAUUAUAGGAAAAAUCCUAGAAUCAUAUUAAGGGUAAUGUAGAUUUUCUUGUAUUAAUAAUCCUCUCUUUUUUAUAUUCUUUCUUUUUAUCCAAAUUUGUUAUGUUGUGGACCUUUUCCUAUUCUUUAAAUUUUAAUGAUUUCUAAGUUUUGACAAAAUACUAAUUAUUUUGCAUUAAGCUAAUAUAUUCAUUGAUAAAAAAAAAAUCUUUCAUGUUUAAUGACAACAAAACUACAAAAGUCCGUGAUGUUUAAUGACAAAGGGAAAAAAAUGAGAAUAUGUACAAAAUAGUCAAAGUUUUGAGGAUAAUUAACGAACUAACCAUAUCCUACAGUAACUUGUCGGAAAACACGUGUAAUUACGUAAAUAUUUUUUGGAACACGUUUUUUCUAAAAUUACAUUUGAUAACAAAAUAUCUAGUAUUACACGUGUGAUCUUUUUAUCAUGCUAUUUUUUCGUAUUACACGUUAUUUAUAAAAAACACAUGAUAUUCCUUAAAAAAAACAUUUUAUUUAAUUUAAUAACUCUCUUUCAUAUAUUAUUUUCUAGUACUACAUGUCUUUUUUUAUUAAGAUCACACGUGAUUUUUUUUUUAAAAGAUUCUUAUUUCUUAGUAAUAAAAGAAUUAUAUUAAAAUCUAUUCAUAUUAAACAUUUCCAUAACAAUGUGAUAUCAUUUCAUUUAAAAAGCUAUUAUUUUAAAUACCAACAUAUGUUUUCGCAACACACUAUAUUUUUUGAAUAUCAUGCUAUUGUUUUAUUCGACAAAAUAAUUUUUCAAACAAAUAUAGUUUUGUAAUUACCAUAACUUAGAAGGAUAUAGUUUGAUAUUUAUUUCACUCCCACACCACCAUAAAAAGAGUUAGUUUGCAAAGAAAACUAGCAUAUAGUUAUUUUCUUAAUUUUGUGUAGAAUAUGAUUAUUUUUAAUAUUACCCAAAAAAAAAUAUGUCCUUAAGCUUAGGAUAGUCAAAGUCAACUCCUGUUUAUAUAAGUUGACUAUUAACUUAUCUGAAUUUGACUUGUUAAUUAGUAAAAUCCUCUCUUUUUUUCUUGCAUGAAUUCAUAUGUAAUAAUAACAAUACUUAUAGAAGAUUUUGGCAAGAAAAAGAAGAAAUAAAAUCUAAUUAUCUGACUAGAUAAACCUUAUUUCUUUUAUUCAAUAGAUAAAUUACUGAAGUUAUUGAUCCUAAAUGCUGAAAGAGCAUGGCCAUUGACCCAUUACUUGACAUAAUUUGAGAUAGUUCUGAAAAACAAAAUGUCUAACUCACUAACAUGUUUAGAUUUCUUUACCCAUAUUGUUUUCUAAAAUCCAUUUGUGGAACAAAUUUUAAUCAAUCAAUAUAUUUAAUUUUCGUCGUAUACCAAAAUUAGUAUGCGUUGUAUUAGUGUUGUCGUUAUGUCAAUCUAUAUAUUUAAAAUUCUAUAUCACUCUUUUUAAUAAUAUAAAAAUUCAGUGAAAUGAGUUUUCAAAUGCAACAAUUAUUGCUUUAAACUAGUUUUUUUUUAUCUUUGAAAUUUUUUCAAGCUACAUUUUGACGCUAAAUAUAACGUUAAUAAUAAAAACAAAUCUCUAUUGAUGGUUUACAGGGCAAUAUUUAAAUUUUGGGUGCAGUAUUAAUUGCCAAAAGAGAUGUUUAUUAAAGUAAUUAGCUAUGUUAGAGGACUACCCCAAAACAAAAUGUGUUCUAGCAUUUCUUUAUUUUUGCUAUCAAAAAGUGUUCUAGCAUUUAAUUAUCGGUUACACUAUUUCUUACUAAUGGACAAAUAUAUACGUUACAUUAAAAAGUUAUGCAACGGACAAACACACAAAUUAUAUGUCAACUAGUUUUAUUGCUUGUUCAAUUCAAAGCUGUUAAUUAUCGAAUAACUUAGUUUUCUUUUAAUAAAAUGUAGGAUAUAAUCACAAAACAUUUUAGAUAGCUUUCAUAAUAUAUACGUAUUUGUUUUUAAAUUACUUGACCAUUUGUUACACCAAUGUUUAUCACAAUAUCACCAAAAUUUCGACAAACCUUAAAACGUUAUACAUAUGAAAGUUUUUUUCUGUCAAUGUAAUCAAACAACUGAUUAUGAAAACAUCGGCUCUUUAAACUAAAAUAAAAAUAAAUAGUAGAUCACUUAAAGUAUUUUCUAUUGAAAAUUUUAUGUUGAAAGAAAAUACGAAAUUAUUUUAAAAUUUCAGUUCUUAUUAUUGUAUAUUAGAAUGUUUUCAAUGCUGAAAAUAAAAUAUCUUGUUUAAAAUAAAUUUACAUGUCAUGAGUUAUAUCGAAAGUAUAUUUCGAAAAAGACAAAACCGUAGCUUCAUAUCUUAUCAGAUAGAUGGUGUGUAGUUCGCCGACAUCACGACAUGUACGAUUAAAUGGAAAACAUCUAUUAUCUGAAUCGGUCUAAUUUAUGAGAGUCGGACAAAGUCGAUUUUUCACUGUAAAAAUUAUAAAAUAAACACUUUUUUAUAAAAAUGACACAUCUAUCUUUUGAAUAUAGAACAUACAGUACUUUUUGUUAAGGACCAAUCUAACAUUCAAAGCCUCCGUUUACGUAUACCUAUAAUGAUGUCACCUGCAUGUCUGUAUUUUUUUCCUCUCAUAAAUAUUAGAAUUUUCUUGAAAUUGUAAAUAUAAAUAAAAUUUAUCAUCAUUAUGAGUUAAGUUCUUAAUUUUUUUUGUGCUUGACAUCAUCUAUCUUCAUUCACUAAAUUUUGUAUCUUAUUUUUUAUUUUUAUUUUUAUGUAAUGAAUGUUUAAAUUUUAUCCAUCAAAAAAACCGUUGUUAUAACAGAUUUGUCAUAUCCAUGAUGUAGAAAAAACUGUGAAUCAUGUACUCUUUACUUGUUCCUUGUUGCAUCAGUUGUGGGCACUAUUAAAUAUCCCAUCUCCUCUCCUAUAGGUGGUUUUUCUAAGUCCAUGUUCUCUAAUAUCCAUUACCUCCUUAGUAUGUCGAAGUUAGCCGGAUUUCCGGAGGAGAGUAGACGAGUUGAAGAAAAAUGAAUAUGAAUAACUUUUCUUUGAAAGGUUUCUUUUUCAGGCAAACACGAUUAUUGCUUAAGCUUUUGAGGAUGUACGGUUGUAGUUUGUUUACUCAGGAACACACAUGACAUGCCGCAUGCGGGUCUUGCACCGAGGUUAGAUAAAUUUUGGUCUCCUCCUUUGUAUCAUUUUCUAAAGUACUGGAUAUGCUUGGUCAAAACAGCACAGUUCUGGUGCUUCUUGGGUCUUGAGGAAUGCUGCUGGUGUGGUCCUAUUUGUAUAGUCGCCGAGCCUAUUUUCAGGUUCUCUCUUCUGGAUGCAAAGAAAACGUGCUCUUUGGGGAUGUCUCCUACGAUAUUGUGAAGGUUCUUCUUAAGCCAAAUGACUGGCCGGUCUUACAUGACUGACACUUUGUUAUUAUAACUUUUAAAUAGCUGGGAUGUUGUUUCUGAAUCUCAGGUUAAUAACAACGGUGUUUUCGAUAUUGCAUGAACUGGUGGAUCUUUUGGUUGGUUGCAAGGUUUAUUCGAUUGCGAAAGAAUGUUUAUAAAUUAUGUUACCGUUAUUUAAUGUGUUAUGCAAGGUCUUUUUAUGUAUACAUGACCACAAACAAAUAAUUUAAAGGCAAUGAAGAGAGAAACCCUUACAGAUUAGAGCUUGGUUCAAUUCUGUAAACUCUUCCUAAAAAAAAACACAUUGGCUCCCUAAUUUGCUAUGCACACAAAGGCACUGCAAAUAAAAUAAGCUUGCCAAAAACAAGCAAGAAAGUUCUUAUUAUUAUACACAUAGUCACAAAGAAAAAUGAAUAGACUGUAGUUGUAUACCCAUAAAUAGAUUCAGUACCCUGAGUUCUACAGAGUGAUUGACGCGGGGCUUACUAGAUUAUACAGUUGCGGCUUUCGGAGACAGAAAAUCGGAGAUCUUGCUGGUGUAGAAAUCUGGUUGUAUCUUGUUCUCAGGGCUUUCCAACAUAGAGAUUGAAGUAACACCUUCAAGUCCACAAAAACAAAAUGAAUAAAAUGUUGACUGACAUAGAUGGUUAUAAACCGAGUUAGUGUCGAUAGAGGAACCGUUUACAGAUUAGUUAUACCCGAGAGGACGAGUAGAGUCUUACAACCGCCAUUCUGCCCGAAUAAAAUGUCAGUGUCCAAUCUAUCACCAACCAUGCAUAUCUGUGACUUUUGGAUUCCAAAUCUGCACAUUUUUUUAGCAGCCAAGUACCAUGAUCAGUGGUCAACACCUCAUUAAACAGAAUGACAAAAAAAGGAGUAGAAAGAAGGAAUAUGAGAAUCUGCAAGUCUUACUUGUCUGCUAAAUAGUCCAUCAUAAAAGUUGAGGGUUUUCCAACAACAAGAGGCUCACGUUGAGUGGAUCCAACAAGAGCACCAACCAUAGAGCCACCACCUGAGACCGCGUAAUCACAUCUUAAUUGGUCAAGGAUGAAAAAUAUGGUGAACAUAGACAACAAAAUAACGGUCCAUGACCAAACUUACUUAGGCACUACUUUUUUUUUUUUUUAUCCUAGCCUUUUCUCUUAUAGGAGAGGAAUAAAAUCCAAAUGCUCAAACUAAAGCUAAAUGAAAACAGUUUUAAAAAUGCACAUAAGAAGCCAACCUGCCCAUUCUUGAGCAUCAGUAAGGUGAGUGACAGCAUCUCGGUUUGUAGCGAUGAAAAGACACCCCGGGUUUUCACGGAUACAGAGUGUUCCAUACCUUCCAUUAAAAAGAAGCUGUUAGAUCACCAAACGCAGAACAAAAACAUCUAUAACGUAUAGCUCAACCAUAAACUAUCAAGAAUAUCAUUCCUGAAGUGUGGAAGGAAACAAAUAAUUGGAGAGACCUACUGAAUUUUGUAGUAGUUGAAAUAGCGAUCAAAUCCAACCACAACAGCUCCAACCUGCAAAGCAUUUUCAGUAUAACUAUGCUCAGUUUCAGUCUCAAGAACAACAAUUUCAUGUUUUCUAUAGAAGGUAUAAGAAGGAUGUCAUACAUCAUGAUCAUGCUCCAUUAGAAAACCUGGCUUCAAUUCAAUCUGUCUUUUACCAUCAUCCUGUAUUUGAAGAAAGAUCACAGAGAACAUAACCAAGACCGGGAAGUUAAGUAUCAGCCCAAACACAAAUCCGGGAUGCUACUAAGAAAGGUCACAAUACAUACCGGACCUCCAAGGUAUUGAAAACCAGCAAGCUCUAGCUCUUUCAAGAUACCUUCCUCACCAAUCACAUAGACCUAAACAAAUAUGCAUCAGAACUUGCAAAGACAUAAAGAGAUACUCUUGAUAUGACAUUGUACCACCAAAAACUGAAUCUUGAGCAUUUUGAAUGAAGUUUACCUUCUUAUCUUUUGGGAAAUUAAUAGACUGCAAGUAUGCAGCAGCAGCAAAAGAUGAAGCAAAUAUCUCCUCCUGUGAAAAAAAAUGAUAACUAUAAUCAAAAACAGGCUUAGUAGCACCUAGAGUAGCUAGAUUGUGAAUUAAGUCACUAAACCUCGUUAACAUUCAGGCCAAGAGUCUCGAACUUUUUUCCAUACUGUUUCCUAGAUUUUGUUGAGUUGUUUGUCACAAAAACCAAUCUCUUUCCCUGAAAAAAAAUCAGUAAUACCAAGAACAACAAUUGAUGUAAUGGAAGAAACAUUCAAAAAGAAUUUGACGCAUAACCAUUUCACACUUUAAAAUAAAUUGAACAAGAGAUUCGCUUACCAACCUUGGCACGAAGCAUAUCAAGAGUUUCAGGAACUCCCUCUAUCAAUUUAUCUCCCUUCCAAAUCACACCUUCAAACACACAAGAAUAAAGAAGAAAGCAAAGAGAAAAUUCAGCACAUUUUGGCUAUUUUGACAACCUAAACUAAUCCAUGAGACCUAUAGAAAACAGAGUAUUUUUGCUAUUUAAGGCGUCUACAAUGGCCAAAAAGAGACCACAGCAAUCUUCUUAUUCCAAAACUUGUAACAUAUACUGUUGUAACCUCUCAUUUGUAGUCAAUGCAAAUCAACACCACAACGCAUAAUAGUGAAGAAAAAAACCAAAGAUCUAAUCAAGAAACUCCAUCAUUAUAUCAACUCCCACUAUCUACACAUAAUCUAAACUAAGUGAUUAUCAGAUUUCAUUUUGUGGUUUUGUUGAUACUGACCAUCACAAUCGAAGAUAAAAGUUUCGACAGAAUCAAUGAGCUGAUCAGCGUUCUCAAGCUGUUGUGUGGCCAUAGCUCUUGGUGUAAUAUUGGAACUCGUCAUUCGAAGAGGCUUAUGGUUGAUUUUACGAAUACAGCCGCCACAGAAAGAAGAAGAACGAUAACCGGAGAGGGUUUUCAGACAGAAGAUAGGCUUUGAGUUUGGUAAGAGAGAAGAAGAUGAGACCGGUGUAACAGCAGAAGCAACUGAUCUACUCAGCAUUUUUCUCUCUUUUUCUCU